rnacentral:lncRNA from 1 species
UUUUUUUUUUUUUUUUUUUUGCUUUUGACGACUCAACACUAGGUUACGACUUCACUUGGAAGAAAUUUAAUGGGAGUUAAACCCUUGAAAAACCUGUUUUCAAGAACGUAAUCACACCAAACAAUUUCACCCUCGAUCAAUCACAGGGUAGGUUAGACUCAAGUGACAAAAUCAAGAAAACAAGAAUCAAAAUUUAUUUUUGUUUCUUUUAAAUCAAAAGGCGGCUAGGGUUUUGGUAGAAAAAUAAAUAGAAAAGAAAAGGAUAUUAACCUGAAUCAAGAGCCGAAGCUCUGAUACCAGAUGAUACGAACUCGACCCAGCAAGAACCUGUCUUGAAGAACCAAGUCGAUCAGGCAGCGGAAUGAUCUAUCUUGAUCAGGUUAUGGAACAAUAACUACCUUGCUAGACCUAAAGAGAACCCGUCUCUAGAAACCUAGUGGAUUGGCUAUUGGCUUGAAAGAACAAGAUGACGUAAUCAUCUUGCCUUGAACACCACAAGUAUCCAAGCUAAAUACUUGAUACAGUUCAAGAAGAAACUCAAGUUCCAUCAAGGAACUCCAUAAAAGGAGACAACUCUCUUUUUAUUAAUUCAUCUUCAAUAUCAUGUCUUCAAUAGUUAAAUAAAGUUGGCUAUUUAUAGCCUUACAAGACUCAAAACCCUAAUCUAAAUUGGAAAUAAUACAAACUUCCUUAUUUGACUUGACACAACUUCUUAAAUAAAUUUGGAAACAAUUAACUACUUUCCUAAAACUAUAAUUCAAUUAGAAUAAGAAACUAACUGACUCAAUUGACUUAACUAUGGUCAACAUGACCUUAGCCUUUAUUUCCCUUAAUAACUCAAGACUAACUAACAAGUAUUGCUGGAAACUUACUUAAAUAAAUAACAAGAAAUAAGCAUGACAAAUCUUCAAUGAUUCUUGAACCCGAUUGCACCAUCAACCAUCAUUUGAAUUUCCUUGAAUUUGAAGGGAAUCCAAAUCUUCAUGUUCUCAUCAAGGAUUCAGACCGCAGAAAGUUGUCAGAAGAGUUAUGCAGAUAAUCGAAGGAAGGACUUAGAAUUUGCGGUUGGAGAUCAAGUAUUUCUUAAGAUUACACCUCUGAAGACAAGUUUAAUGUCUGGAAAAAGAAAGAAGUUACAACCGAGGUUUGUAGGACCUUAUAAAGUUAUCCAACGCGUGGGAAAUGUAGCGUAUAAGUUGGAACUGCCAUCGAGUCUGCCUCGGAUUCAUAAUAUUUUUCACGUGUCCAUGCUUAAGAACUAUCAUCCAGACCCUUCUCAUAUCUUGCAACCGGAAAGUAUAGAAAUUGAUGAGAUACUAACUUAUGAGGAGAAACCGAUAAAGUUUCUAGAUCGUAAAGUGAAAGAAUUGAGGAACAAGCGGAUUCCAUUGGAGAAAGUUUUCUGGAGGAACCAUGAGUUAGAGGAAGCAACUUGGGAAGUUGAAGAAGCAAUGCGAAAGAAAUAUCCAGACCUAUUCACAGAUCAAUGUAUAAUUUCGAUGACGAAAUUUUCUUAAGGGGGAGAGGAUAUGAGGACUCGCAAAAAUUUCUUAUUUUAAAUUCCUAUUCCUAGCUUAUUUAAAUAUUUAAUUCCCCGUUUGCUCCGAAUAUUUUAUUCCAACGUUUUUAGACCCGAUUACAUGAAAUUAUGACUUACAUAUAUUUUUAAAAUGACUUGUUUCAAAAAUUUAAUUUUUGGAAACCCGUUUAGUGAGAAUAGUGAAUACGCGUUUCGAGGCAAUAAUCGAUUUGAGGGUACAGUGAGUUUGGAGAUUGAAGACUCAUAUAUUAGUUUUAAAAUAGUUAAUUUUAUGUUUAAGUACUCAAUUAUUAGUUAGUAAUACUAUCGUUAUAAGAAUUCCUUAGAAAUUUCGCUCUAUCGCGCACAAAUCGGAAGUACGUGUUUUCGCGCGCGCGAUUAAUCGAGGGACUUUAGACCUUUAUUUUUAGACUAUUAAAAGUGAAUAAUAAUAGUAUCAAUGGAAGUGCAUUAGAGGUUUAGUGCACAAGUGAAACAAACCCGAGAGGAAACGAGCACGAAACGCGCGCGUACGCUCACUAUUCUUAGUUGACUUUUUGGAGAAAUUUGGGCCACAAACACUUAAGCUUCUCAAGGAAGUUUCACCAUCAGCAAAACACUCUCUCUCCCUUUGCUCUUGCUGGCCAAAACACCAUAGGAGGAAGAGGACCAAAGCUCUUCAUCAUCUUGCUUCAUCUCUUGCUUAUUUCACUUCAAAUUUCUACCACACCUUGCAAAUAACAUGGAGAUCAUCUUGGGCUAGAAAAUGAGCUUCAUUCUCACGGUUUUCUUGGAGUAAAAUGGGGCCAAAAAUUUCUGGUUUAAUAUCAUCUAGGAGGUAAUGAAGAUCCAACCCUUAAAUCUUAACUUUUGUAAGUUAAAUUGCACUUGGAAACAUAUAGCUUCAUGUGGGUACCUCUAUAUUGAUGGAAAUCAUGUGAGUGGGUUCUAUGAAAUCCCACAAUGGACUUGAUGAACUGAUGUGAUGAUAUUGGGUUGUUUAUGUCGAUUUAGUGAUUAAACUAGUGAUUAUAAGUUGAAAGGUGGAAAGAAAACUCAAAGGAAACAAAAGGAAAGAAGGGGCCGGUUCUGCCCUGCCUUUGCUGCGCCUCUUGGUGCAAAUUUUUGUGGUCCAAUUGACUUGAUUUUGAUGUAGAUAUGUUGUAUAGAUUGUGUGGAAAGUUUUCACUAAAAAUCACUUGAUUUACUUGGGUAAAUGUUUGGAUUUCGAAAAUUGUUUGUGGCUGGAAACGUGUCCAGAGUUGCUCUGGCAGUGAAUUUCAAACGGCUAUAACCCUUUGCUUCGACGUCAAAAUUGAGUACCGUUUGUGGCAUUAGAAACUAGACACUUCCAGUUUUCUAACGGUAUAAAAUGAAUUCUCUGAUUCCACUUGAGUGAACUGUACCAGCCUUUCAUAUCACCUGCCAUGUUUCUCGGCUGUGUUAGAAAACCUGUUAUGAGCUGCAACUUUUUGCUUGAAAAUGAGCUAGUUAUGGACAGAAUUUUAAAAUGAUUCCUUCUGUGAAACUGUAACUUUAUGAAUUUAGUUUCCAACGCCACUAACCACGCUCAAUUCCAAGUUGAAUUGAGUGAGUUGUGGCCAAAUUUUGAAACUGUCUCAGUGAUGGAAAACCCACUUUUGGCUAAUUGAAUGCCUUAAUUUGGAUUGGAACUUGUUAUUUUGAAAUUCUUAGUGUUAAUCACCUACCAAAUGUAUCUUGGAUAUUUAUUAAACCUUUUCUUCAUAAUUGAACCAUGUUUGAGAAAAUUUCAUUGACCCAAAAGUUCGAAAAGGGAAAAUGGAAGUACAAGGCAGAUUUGCCUUGGAAAUUCUUGAAACUUUAGUGGCUUUGUUAACUGACUUUCCGUACGAAUUUUUGUAUGAAAUUUGACAGAGGAAUAGCCCUUGUAUGGUAGGGUAAUAAUACCAAAUUUGGUACCAUUCCAAGUCCAUUUUGAUGCCCAACCAAAGUCUCAAAAUUCAUGUUUUAAAUCUGGAAAACCCUUGUGCAGUGAUAAAUUUUCAGCAACUUUGAGCUGCUAUAUCUUGGCGCUCAAAACUUCGAUUCUUGUUCUGCUUGUUGUGUUUUAAACUUUGAUUGUAAUUCUAAUGGAGUUCCAAAUUUUAGAGGCUAGUUCACAUUCUAUGAAUUUUGCCGAAUCAUUCUAUGAAUUUUGCCGAAUUUCCAAAAUUGGCCAAAAACCAACCUCAAAACUGUCUUGAUAUUUCAAAACAGCAACUUUGAGCCGAAUUUUGAAUGUCAUCCAUUUUGAAUCAUGGAAAAGUGUCUUCUAGAAACUUUUAGUACUUUGGAAGUAGUUUCUAACGGUAUCAAGUUUUCCAAUUUUGGACCUUCAGAAAGUGAGAUGUGAUUUUUCAAAGAUUACUUACCAAAUCUGAAAUUUUCAAACUUAAAGAAAAUUGUGCUUUUAGAACUCUUCAUAUUUCUUCGAUACCACUUGACCGUUUUACACUUGAUUUCAAAGAUGAAAAAUCAGAUUUCUCUUGUGUUUUACAACCUCACUUUUGAGUCUCGAUUUAUGAGUAAUUAAGGCUCAUUUUUGUGAUAUCUUCUUAGAUUAUACACUAGUACAAUCUUUUUCGAUAAUUAGGGAUUUUAAGCGAUAGUGUGUAAUAGUUAUUAUUAAUUGCUAAGGAACUCAAGAGAACUUUCGAGAGGAUCCCACGGUGGACGCCUGAACUCUCAAGUGUGCUUUACUUCUUGAAUUACUUGGUGAGUGUCAAGUGUAUGCGAACUUGAUACAUGCUUAACUGUUAUUAAUGAUUGGAGAUUUUGAAAAUGGAGUCGAGUGUGUACUUUACCGCACUCGUUCUCAUUUGAAAUGAAUAACUCAUGAUUGAAUUGAUUGAAAUGAAUUAUUGAAUGUAUCGAAUGCUUGAAUGACAUGAAAUGGUAUGCUAUGGCUGAGUACGUCGUUGGAGUGAAUCUCCUCGACUCACAAAUGUUACAUGGGGGACGCCCAAACUCACAGGCCGACCCUGGGACUCGAGCCGACAUGGGCUUGAUCGGGAACCUCGGUGAGCCAUGACAAUAACAUGAUAAGCUUGAUCUAUUGGAGAGAUCUUGCUUGGCCUACUCGUGCAGUAGCGCCUUUAUCGACGUUCGGGCCCGGUGGGAGGUUGUAAGGUGGAAGGACUUGUGAAGUAAAGUGGAGUCUACGGAUUGAAAAUACCGACCCGGUUGACGAAGAAUCACCACGGGAAGGUAUACGAUUGAGAUCUGGCAAAGUGAGUGGAACUUAGCUCCUGAGAGCUACCAUAUCCUUGAAUUGUUUCUAUUUAUAUUUCACUUGAAUUGUUAGUUACUCGAUUAUUAUCGUUUUCUUGUAAAUUGGGAUUGUUAUUUGGACAAUGUGCUUGCUGUGACACCCGGAAGAAGAAGAAAAGGAAAAAAUUUUGGUUAGCUUUGUUUUUGGAGAAUCCGGCCACAAAUCCAGCCAGUUCUUGGCCGAAUACCUGGCCGGAUUGGCUUGGGGUUUUGAAAAAAUUUGGAAUUCACCACUGCCCUAAAUCCGGCCGGAAAUCCAGCCAGAUUCUGGCCGGAUUGUGACGUGGCACUUCGGCAGCCAAUUUUGACUGGCUGUUUUCCUUCAUUCGUAUCUUGUUUCUUGGCUGAAAUAUCUUCCAUUCUUGCUCCUUCUUGGCCGAGCUUCAUAGAGAGAGAAAAGAACAAGAGAGAAACAUUCAUUUUAACUUCCAAACUUGCUUGAAUCUUGAGAUUUUGCCAACCACUUUGCAAAAUACUCCAUAAAAGUGUUAUCUAAGUAGGUUUGGAGGAUUUGGUGGAGUGAUUUUUGGAGAAGAAGCUCUAAGCUAUUAUCUUUCUUGAGUUUAUAAGGUACCUUAUUUGGAAAAUUCCCUUUUUGUUCUAAUAAUGGUAAAUUAGUGAUUUAUAGUAGCUAAAUAUGUGGUUUUGCGGAUGAUUUCAUGAUUUUAAGUAGAGUUUGACAAAUUUCUGAUUUAUUAGUGAAUUUUCUGAUUUUAGAUGAUAAUUGUUGGUUGGUCAUGGAAUGAUAGCUUGAUAUGGUGUCAAAUGGAGCCUUUGUGUGUUAGUUGUCGUUGUUUGCGGAAAAUUUCAGUUUUGUGCGGAAAAUUUCAGUUUUAGGGUUUCGAAUUAGGGCUUAAUUGUGAUUGGUUUUGGAGUUCUCUAUUGGCUCAUAUUGAAGGGGUUUUGUGGCCUACUUGGAUAUGUGGUAUAUCUUAUGAUUCGUAUGUGUAAUUGUAGUUCUAUACAAAGGUUAGUUUCGAAGUGUAAUCUCAGUUUUUACCUUGUUUCUGGCCUCAACUUGGACUGUACAAUUCUCCAUGUUUUAGACCGAACCAACUGUUAGACAAAACAUAAAAGUUGUAGAUAUAUGACUUAGCUAUCUACCUGCAAAAUUUCAGAUCUAUUAGAAUACUGUAGCAUGUGAAAUGACCGAAAUACCCUUGACUGCCCUUAAGCCAUGUUUCACGGACAGUUUCCAUUUUUCUCUAAGAUUUGAUUUUUGACCAUGAAAAUGAAUAAUUUGGCUUUGGAGGUCAUCAUAAGAAAUGUUGGUAUAUGUCUUAGCUUCGUAACGCCAUAAGAAUCGUCUCAAUCCGAUAAAUGUAUCUUCAGUUGUUGUUAUUGUGCCGAAAGGUGUGUUUUAUAGUCUAAGAUUUGUGUGUGCUGUUUUGAAUGAAUAUUGGUGGUUGUUGUAGGAUGGAAAUAAGGAAAUUUAAGGGGAAGUGCUGUCCAAUCUUUGAGGACAUCUGAUCGCUUUGAAUUUGAGUUAAUUCUUGGUAGAAUGAAGAGCUUGGACUUGAACAAGGCAAUGUCUGUGAUGGAUGGUUCCUGAGCUGUGGUUGGUGAGUGAUUCCAUAACUAUUUGCAAAGUUACUUUUUGAACUAUUUCUUGCAUUGCAUACUCGAUUGCAUAUCAUGAGUGCUUGCAUGUGUGCCAUGAAAUGAUUUGGCUCCGAUGAGUUCUUGGGAAGUCUUGUACUUAGAACCAACGUCUCCACCACUAUUUAUUUGGAGCACAAAUAGCUCUCUCUUACUGUUUGAUUGUUAAUUGAUCUGUUUUAGUGUUGGAUGUUUAAGUACAAUGAUUUCACUGGCUCACAAGAGCAAUAAAUGUACAUUUUAUUACUAAUUCAUGACAUCAUUGAAAUGAACUAUUGUGAAACUGGUUGGAUUACUGAGUUUACUGGUCACUUGCUGAGUUUCUAGCUCACCCCAAAAUAUAUUUUCUCCCCACAGGGCUCGAGGCAAGGGAAGCGCUUGUAUUAAGUUCUUCGUGUGACUGGAUGGUUGAUCUCCUGUAUAGUUUGAAUUUGGAAUUCAUCUUGGGUAAUAGUUGGGAUUGUAUGAAUGUUUGGAAUGGAAACGAGUAUAGGUGUACGUUCCACGCUUGUGAUAUGUAAAUUCGUGGAGAAUUUGAUGUAAUAUUUGAGAUGUGCAUUGUAAUUUAUUUGAGGACUGUAAUGAGUUCCGGCGAGAGUUGGGCAAGCGGUCCGCUGAACCCUUUGGUUCGCCUUAAGAGGAGGUGGGGCUGUCACACUUGUAUGUGUGUUUCUUGGCCUCACGAGCAAUUGCUCACCCCGUAGAUUUGUUUUCCUUAACAAGAAUGGACAUGGAGCGAAACUCGGAGAAAACCUUGGGAUGUACUUUUGUAUUAGGGUUUAAAUGUAAUCGACUAGACUUUUGGCAGUUGUAUAUUUUGGAAAAUUGAUGUAUUUUGGAACUCGUGGUGUAAGUUUGAAUAUUAUUUAUGGAAUCCAACUUAUCUUUCUUACUUUAUCUUAUCGUGAUAGCUAGUAUUGUAUUAAGGUUGAACGGGAUUUGUACUGAAUCCUGGCGAGAGCUGGGCAGGCGUCCCGCAGAUACCCUUUGGUUCGCCUUAGGGAGAAGUGGGGGCAUCACAAAAUUAUCCAACUCAUGAUUUGGAUUUAGCGGCUAUGAUAUUUUCAUUAAAGAAGUGGAAACAUUACCUAUAUGGGGUAGACAUGAGGCCGAUUAAGUUGCCCUAUAACUUGGAAGUUAAAACACCUAUUGGGCAAAAUCAAAGUUUGAUUGCUAGUUCGAUGAAUAGAAAUUGCGAAGUAUAGGUUAGAAAACGUAAGUCAGAGAUUGAUCUGCUAGGCUUAACCAUGAAGAGUGUAGACACCAAAUUUUUUUAAAUAAUUUUCAUCCUGUUUUUAUUUUUGUUUUUAGUGAUAAUUCUUAUCUAUUUUUUUUAUUAUUUGUUAGUUUCAUGAUUUUGGUUAUAGAUUUUUAGCAUUUGUAUAGCAUUUUAGAUUAUUAUUAUUAUCGAUUAUGUUAUUUUAGUUUUUAUUUCGUAUUCGUUUUUGCCCUUUUAGCUUUUUAUUUUUAUUGUAAGACUUUUAGCAUGAAAUUUGUUAAAAGAGAAAAUUAUUCAUGUUUUAUUUCUUUUUACUGUUUAAUAAUUGACAAAGGGGGAAAAAUCAUCAAUCAAACACAAAAAAAAAAAUUUUAGCAUUUUUGUUUUUGUCUUUUGUUCUUAGUUUUGUCCAUUUUACUCAAUUUUACUUAAAUUGUUAUUUUGGUUAUUAAAUGAAAAAUUAAGAAAAAAGAGGGGGGGCAAGCUCAGGACCCUGAGAAGCAUACGAUCCAAACCUCUUUUCUUUUUCAUGUUAAAAAAACGCAGAUACAAGGAAAAUUUUCAGCUCCUUUGCCACGGAGGUUUCCUUUCAUUUUUUGGGUUCCGUUGGAUCAUUCCACUUGGCCCUCAUCCGAGAAGAGCUAAGAAUGAUCUAGGCAAAUGUUGAUCGAAGGGUUUGAAGUGAGGAGUGGGGAGCUGAGAUUGAAAAGGACCAUUGAUAUCAGGGUUUUGGGUUUUGGCCAUUGGGGGAAAAAAAGAGGGGACGGCUGGAAAAGAGUUGGGAGGGCUGAAAAUCUGGAGAGAAAAGGGAAGCUAGUCGACGGCGGAGAAAGGAAAAAGAAACGAGAAACAGAAAUAGAGAAAAGGCUUUCGGAAAAGAAAAAGGGGAAAAGGAAGGCUGAGCGAGGGAGAAACCAAGAGUGUGAGAUACAGAGACAGAGGUGAUGGCGGAAGAUAUAGGAAAACAGAAAGGAAAGAGAGGAGGAGCAAGGGGCAAAGGCUGAGCGGAGGAAUCUCACCACCACCUGCGGCUGUUCUUCGAGAGAAAUCACUGCUCAACUGUAUCAGAAAGUAGCACUGUAAGAUUCCUUCUAGCCUUUUUCCCUAUAGAUAACUUCUGUUGAUGAAUUAUGAGACCAUGAGAGGUUGAUGAAUACGUAUUGUCAUUUGGUUUGAGUAUGUGAAUACGGUCAAAGAGUUGUAAUGUUUGUUCCUUGUGUUGGUUCAUGGUCUACUGCCCAAAGAUGUUGCCUUUCUACUUUAGAUCUUCUCGGUUGUGUGUUUAGCAGUGAUUCAUAAGGGUUGUAUGGAGAGUCAAGUUCUUGUUUACGGUUCUUGUUACCUGCUGCAACUUUGUCCAUUCGGUCUGAGGUAGGUAGCAUGAGAUGUUUUGGCUGCCAAAGCUUCCAUUCCAGAUUUGCAUGCUUGAUGAUUUUAUUCCGAAGAUCGUGGGUGGGUCGCCUUAAGCUUUAGUUUCGUUGUUUGGGGAUGGGUUUAGUGAAGUCUUGCGUAUGUGAGAAGAGUUAUGAUCAAUUCGAACCUGGUUGAAGCUUUUGUUACUUGCCUUUUGCUGCCCAAAGCUGUGCUUAUAACCUUCUUGAUGGAAAACAGGGAUAUAAAUCAUUUUUUUUAUGCGCAUUUUUUCUGAUUCAUGUUCUGUUUGAUUAGUUUUUCUAGAAUUUGGGUCGAGGUUUAGCAGAUGGUCAGGUCAUUUUAUUUGCAUUUUUGUGUCCGAAAGCUCGUACAAUGUCUCCCCUCUCCCUUGUUUCUUGUUCUUGCAUUUUAGAUGUAUUAAAUCAUUUUUUAUAUGAGCAACUAAAAGUUGCUGCAACAAGAUUGGAACUCCUUGUUUGCCAACUGUAAUGUUGACAGAUUGGGGGUCUUUGGCUUGUUGCAGCAGCGUGGAAGGGUCCUUUCUUUUGGUCGCUGAAGUGGUAGUUGAUUGGACUUUCUUCUUGUUGUUUGCUGCUUAUUUGAGAUAACAUGAACAAUACGUGCUAUGGAAGCUGCAUUUAGACAAACCAUAGCUUUGAAAACCAGGGGAAGUAAGAACCAUGCGCUAGGUGUUCAGUUUUUCUUGUUUGGGUUUUGAUGCAUUGAGGAACUAAAGUGUCUUGUUCACAAGUAUAGCCUGUCUUGCUCCUUUGUGAUGAUCUCAGUGUUUUGGUUGAAGAGUGGAAAGUUCUUGGUUGAAUGUUUAAUGGACCGUUGCAAGUAUAUGAUGAAAGCUCCUCGGCUGCAUUUUGUUUUUUUUUUCUUGUCUUCUUGGCCUGAAGCCUCUCCGUGGGAAUUGAACAAUCAUAUUUGGAUAUAGAAUUUGGACAUUUAUGUAAUGUUUGGUUGAACAAGUCUCGAGCAAACUUUGUGUAUUUGAAUCUGAAAUUCGAAUUUGGAAGCAAAAAUGUAGCAGACCUUCACUUUAGGUUGCGGAAACUUGCUAUUCUAAAAUUGCAGAAGAGAAAUGUUAGCUGAAAAUUGCAGAAGCUUUCUUCAUACUAGUUUUGCAUGGCAUUUGCAUGAAAAUGAUUUUAAUAAUUGCAUUCCAACCCCACAUGUUCCUCCUCAUGUUACAAAGGCCCAAUUAUAUUCUAAUUUCUUGCAAUUAGGACCUAGAGUAAUUGCAAUUUGAACCAUUACUUGACCCCUUCUUUGCUCUUGGACCCGUGAAUUUCCCAAAUGUGUUAAUUGGGCUUGAGUGAUUGGUUAAUAUUUGCAAUUGGGUCCUUGGCAGUUCUCCUAUUUUAGAAAUUUGAUCAAUAAUUUACUUUUCUUGGAAAUUAUGCAUUAUUUGAUUUCAUUUAAGUUGCGAUUGUGAGGGAUUUGGUGAUUUUGUUUAUACUUUACUAUUUAAUUGGUGCCUUGACCCUUUUAUUUUUUUGAAGCUAUUUUUCCUUCAUUUGAUUACCAUUGCAAGGGAGGUACACUCUAUCCCUUAUUUUCACUUUAUUUGACCCUAUGUGUCUAUGUGAUUUAUGUGCUUAAUUGCAUACCUUUUGAAUGUUUUCAUUUUAUUUUUUUAUUUAUUUAUCCACUUUAUUUGUUUUAGUUUUGUAUAGUUAUUUUCAAUUUCGAACAUUUGAAAGGCACUUGAAUGCCAAAGUUGUAAUAGCUAGGUUAUUAUUUUAUUUAUUUUAUUCCGUUUCCCCUCUUAGAUUGUAGUAGGCUUCCCCCGAAUGUAAUAGUUAGGGCUUUAUUUGCUUUGUUUGCCUUAUGUGUGUUUUGCAUGUCUAUGUGCUAUGUGUUACCGCUUUUUUAGGGUCUUGCAUCUAGAUAUCAUGCUUAUGUAUUAUGUGCUAUAUGUGAUUUAUGUGUUUACAUGCUUUUAUUAGGUCUUACAUGAUUUAUUUGAUUGUAACCGAUGUGUGACGUCACCACACUAGUCCAAUGCUAGUUGUGGUCAAUUUCUCGAAUCCACACUAGUCCAACGCUAGUUGUGGCCCUCUGUUCCGACUUUUCUCACUAGUCCAAUGCCAGUGGGAAAUCGUAGACAUGGGUUAGUCCAACGCUAGACCCUUAGGAUCCCUUCUCACGUUAGAUCAUGAUUGUGUGAUAAAAUCACCUCAUCUCAUGCAUAUUUUACUUUCUAGGGUCUUUUAUCAUUUUGUAUGAUAUACCCCUUAUACAUAUAGCUUCUAUCCCUAAUUUUCCUAUAUAUAUCCCCCCUGUCGCGCCCCAUUUUUUAAUAAAUAAAUGAAUGGUUUAGAAAGAUGGAUUUUUUGAUUUUUUUGGAAAAAUGAGUUUUGUUUUUAGAAAAUGAAUAAAGGAAAAAGGCCUAAAUGGGGUUUGUAAUGUGACGAUUUGGGCCCAAAUUAUAGUUUAAAAAGGGUUUUUGAAAUAAAAAUCGGAAUCGCCACUUGGUAUAGAAUUAAGGUGUACCAAGUCACCUAAAAAUGAAUUUUAAAGAAAAAGUAGAAAAACACUUUUUAAACGACUCCAAGUCUACAAAAAUCAGAGAAAAAUAUUCGGGAGUCACAUUUAAAGAAAGGAAAGGCAAGGAUAAAAUCCAAGGCACCCUUUUCAACUUAACCAAGGCUAGUUACGUGAUUUAGUCCAAGAUUUUCUUAUUUUAACCUAAAGAUUUAUCACAUUUGGAUGUACUAUAUGAAUGCAUACCCUAGACUUAAGAGGGUAUCGGAGGGGUCGAAAUUUCUCUUCAAAGCUUAAUUGGUGCCAAUCACAUUAAUUGUGAUGCCCAAUGUGGACUCUUUGGAGAAGUCACGAAUAAUGCAAAAAAAAAAAAAUCCAUCUUUCUAAACCAUUCAUUUAUUUAUUAAAAAAUGGGGCUCGACAGCUGGCGACUCCACUGGGGACUUAGAAAGUCCGAACAAAUUUGAUUUAGUCAAUCUUUUUCUUCUUUUAACCUUCUCAUAUAUCGCAUUUGGAUGUUUAGGGUUGCAUUCUUCUUUUCCUUUUGCCCUUUUUCUCUUUUUAGGGAUUUUGCAUCUAUCACGGGCACAAUCGCUCUUCGUACACUACGUAUGUGAUGAAUGGAUGGUUCAUUUAUUUGUUUACUUUUACUUGUUUCGCGAUUGCAUUUUGGGAUGGGGGUAGUUACCCUAGAACCUUCGACCACAUCUAAUGGUACAAUCCCUCCCAUCGGUAAGAAAGCACCACAUACGUGCAUGAAUAGUCUUAUUUACCCUAUUUUUUUCUUUUUCGUGGGCGUUUCCCACGCCUCCUUGUAGGAUUAGGAUCGAUUGCCUUGGGUAGGCGGAUGGUGUGCUCUGCGCCCAUAGCGCUACCGAAGGGAUCACUCGAGCCACCGACCGAAGGCCCUGGGAGUGAUGACCCUUCGCCUUUAGGUCUGAAGGCUUGGGAGCCGAAGCCUUAUCGAGUCUAGAUGCAUUAGUGAACCAAACCUCAUGCAUCCAUAUUAGAAUUGUCUAGGGUCGAGUCGACCUUAUCCUGAAUUAGGAACAUUAGGCACGAGGGGAGGGAUUCCACCCUUCUUUCCUUAUUUCUCUUUUGUAUUAAUUAAUUGCCUCAACGUGUUAUGUGAUUAUUUACUGAACUAACAUUUCUUUGUUUUCUUGUCUUUUACAUUCACAAACGCUAGGAAUUAAGAGAUCUGGCAUGAUCCACUUUUAGAACUUACCCUCUUAGAUAGGUUAAUGCAUGUUUAAGAUUUCAAUGAAUUGCAUUUAUAGAUUGACAAUUGAACAUCAUUCUAGGCCUACCCUGGCAUAUAAAGGGUUCCUUUAGGUCACGUUUCAUUUGUGUACUGCAUAUUUAUUCGCUUUGAUAAAAUGGCAUCACGCAUAAACCCUAGAGGGAAUGCCAUUUAGGGGAUCCCACUUCAGGAAUAAACCGCCAUGUGUCUCGGAUACUUAAUCCAAGGAAACUUGCACGUUUACAUUUUGUACCAUCCAAAGGGGUAGUGCACAAGGUAAGGUAGGAUCCGAUCAUUUUCAUAGAGCGAUCUUUGGAAUAUGAGCGUCUAAUAAUCACUUUUUGCCACUUUAUCAAAAUUGGUAAAAAUCCCUGGCGUAAAGGACAUUAAUUUGAAGAAAUUCACCAAUAUUUCUUCACUGUUGAGACGAUAAAUAAAUUGAGGCCAAAAUUUGAUAUUAGAAGGCUCAUAGACUAAUGCAUCGCAAUAAAUUUUUGAAACUACCAAUUUAUAGAUUGAUUUUUAAGUAAGCUGUCAAUUCCAUUCAAUCCAUUGGACCAUUUUAUUCAUCAAUUUCAUCCAGUCCAUUUUAUCAAUUUGUUCAUUUCUAGGGCAACCUAGUCGAUUUUGAAUUCAUUUGACUAGUUUACCCAUCUUAAGGCAAUCUAGUUGAUUUUGAAUAGAUCACCAAUUUCAUUCAAUUCAUUUGAUUAGUUCUUAGGGCAAUCUUAUCGAUUUUGAAUAAAUCAUCAAUUUCGUCCGAUCCAUUUGACCAGUUUGCCUAUUUUUAGGACAAUUCGGUUGAUUUUGAAUAAAUCAUCAUUUCACUCGAUCUGUUUGAUCAAUUGAUUUCAUUCAUUUUCAAGGUUAUCCAUUCAAUUUUGAAUAAAUAAUCAAAUUUUAUUCAAUGCAUUUGACCAUUUUACCCUUUUUAAGGUAAUUUAGUCAAUUUUGAAUAAAUCAUCAAUUUCAUCCUAUCCUCUUGACCCGCUUAUUCCUUUUUAGGGUUUAAGUCUAAAGUUCACUGAGUAAAUUAGUCGAGACAUUGCAAUCCUUUCAAGAGCAGGCUCUGUUGCACGUCAUGCGUUGAUCAAAGCAGGCAAUCCAUUCGGACUUUGUCCUCAUUUUUAGGACAAAUGUCUCUUCUCACUCCAAUUGACCAAAUUUGUUAAAAUUAUUUUUCACUCAAUAAAUUGGUCGGAUUCAUCAGGUAUUGUAUAGUGCCUACCCCCAGAGGAUUGCAUUUUCAUGCUAGGCCUACCCUUGGCAUAAAAGGGCUCCCCCAUAGGACAUGCAUAUCGAUUUUACAAUUUUGCUUACUAACUCUGGGUAUUUUUCUUUUAUUUUCCCCCUCCCCCCUGCAUUCAUAAAAAUAUUUCAAUAAGGUGAAAAUAUUUUUCUAUAUCUGAUAACAAUGUUGAUCUAAUAAAGUUUGAAAAUUACAAAUAUUACUUGAAUCUUGGGCGGACCCUGCAAUGAAAACAUGAAGGAUCUAUUUGGAAGUGCUAGGCUAAAGCCUCUAAGAGACUUCAUCAUUAUUUUUCAAAGGAAGGCAAAAAAAUUAUGUUCCAAAAAGGAGGCAAAAAGUGUGUAUAUGUGGAGUUCUUCAGAAGUCUUUCUCUUCUCAUUUGUAGAAAUUUUGUUUCAAACUUUUUCAGCAAUAAAUUUUUUUAUUUAUACAAUUGUUGAUUUGUAUAUAAUCAUGUAUAUUUCAUUCUUUUUUGGCUAUUUGAAGGAUUUCAUGAUGAAUUUUAAGAAAUAAGACCAAAUUGAGAUUUUUCAACCUCCUGUCUGAAAAUUCACAAGUGUAUGUUUUCUAAAUUCUCCGCAUACACUAGAUUGGUGAUUCAAACUGUACAAUAAGAGUGCUCAAAAUUAAAAGGGGUUACUCAAAAGGCCCAAUGAGAUACAUUUUCUCCUUCACUGUACAAUUCCUAUUUUGCCCACCUCUAUUUGCCCCCUCCAAAAAUCAAUCACAUUGAUUGAUAAAUUGCAAAUUGGGGAAAUCUUUGCUUGAAAAUGCUCACUGGUCUAACCAGAUGCAAUCACAUCUAAGUGAAAGCAAAAAUAUGCAUUAUUUUUGUUUGUUUUGAAAAUUUGGAAUGAUACUUCGAGCAUUCGUUUCUCUACCUAUACAGAUUUUAUCAUUUGCUCUCCCAUUUGAGCCAUUGAAAGAAUAAUUUUGUUUCAAAUAAGAGCCUUAAUGAUCACUACCCUAUAUUGGAAGAUUUUCAAAUAUCAAAAAGAAAGUGGAUUUUCAAUGACCAUUUCGUUACUUUGGUUGUCAUGAGGUGUAAGAAUGAUACUUUGGCCAUCGUUUCUACAACCUAAACACUAUUUAUCCCUCGCAUUCUCAUUUGAGCUAAAAUGGGUGGUUCUUUCCAAAAGCACUUACGAUCGCACCCCACUUUGGGGAAGGAGAUUGAAGAAUUUUCCAAAAGGAGAAAAAGCAAAAAUGCUAAAAUUAAAAGAAAAGAGGGAAUCACAAAUUGGAGAAAUUUGAUUCUACUUGGGCUUCAAUUUUGGAAAAAAGAGAAGAAAAGUAAAGAAGAAGAAAGAGAAAAGAAAAGAAAGAGUUUUGUCCGGCGGAUCACCUAUGUUUCACAGAUAUGGGUGAACAAGGGUCUUCCUCAGUCAGUUAAUUCAGAUACAAGCAAGAAAUUUCCCAUUAAUGAAAGUUUUCUUUCAGAGUUAAUGUACGGAAUAGAAUAAAAGUCAGGUCCUCUUCUUUUCCAAUCAGACAUUCUAUCCCUAGUUAUCCCUUUUGAGCCUUCAGAAUAAAUUAUUUCGUUUGGCAAACCCCUGAGAAUCGCAAACCUCACACUGGGGCAAGAUUGAGUUGAAAAGGGAAAAGUCUCAAGAAGUGAAAAGUGAUAAAGCAACAAAAUCAAAAGAAAAAGAGAAAAGAGAACCUCAGUUCAAAAAUAGACUGGGGCAAAUUUUUGAAAAAUUUCAAAGGAAUGGCAGAAGGCCGAAGGAAAAAUCAAAAGGAAAAAAGAGAAAAGAGAAAAAUAAGAGAGAAAAAGAGCCUCAAUUGAGAAUAAACUGGGGCAAGUUAUGAUUUAACCCUAAAAAAGGGUUGAUAUAAUAAUGCGAUCUCAGAUCAUUUAAACCACUUUUGAAAAUCCGCUUUCAAGGCUUAACUUUUUUAAGCACCCCACCAGACCCCAUUACAAAAGCUGAAAGUCCUGACUUCCGUUCUUUGCAAUAUCUCUGUUAAGAAACUUUCUAAUUAAUUGGCAAGUGAUGCGCAUAUACUGAUGCUAGGAAAUUAUUUAGAUUUAUUUCUGAAUUGAUUAGCUGUGAAGUUGACAUUACUCAUCGUCUGAAAAUCCGCCUGGGCACCUUUGAAAAGAAAAGAAAAGGAAAAAGCAAAAAUAAAUGCAAAGGAAAUGAAAAAGAUUAGAUGGUGAAGUCCCCGUUGAGUGAUGAUGAAAGUCACCAAAUCUGAGAUCUUUGAGUUCAAAAUAUGGGCAAUUUUGGAAAUGCGAUCUUCGGUGCAAUGUCCUUGAAAGUCUUAUUCUUUAACUAUCAUUUUCAAACCACAUUACAAGCUCAUAAAAUCCAUCGCUAACUUAUCCUUCAUGACAACCCAAAGUGAGGAUUAUGCUCAUAAGAAAUCCAUCAAUCAUUUGUGAUCAUAAAGGUAUAACCAGUUUUUACAUGUUUGGCUAUCGUUUCUACCCAUAUGUUGCAAGCUUAUAAAGCUUAUAUAUUGACUAAGUUUUCUUAAGAAAUAAGGGUGACAAACUCUUUGCUUUCACUAAAAUGUGAUGUUGAAUGGAUUACAUACAAUUUUGGGCACAAGAACAAGACAAAUCUUGACUUCUCAUUUUCCUUAGCCACCUCAAAAUCAGAAUAAGAUCACUUGAUUGGUCCUGAAAGACGAGUUAACAAGUAGUGGUGACCCAUUACUCUAAGCACAGAUGCUAAAAGUGAGGAAGAAAUCUUCUUGAAUUUGGUGUUACUCUGAGGGAUUCAUCAUGAAAUUUCUGCAUGAGUUCAAACUCAACGUUUAAAUUUCUUCACGUAGUAUAUAUGAUUACUUUCUAAGUUUUAGAAAGUGCGAUUUCUCUUUGUUCAAAUAAAUGGGGAAUCAUCUGAACAAAUUUUUGCAAUCAAAGGAGCUCACACUGGGGCAAAUUUUUAUUUGUGAAAUUUCGCAAAAUAAGCCCACACAGGGGCAAAUAUUUUUGUAAUACAUUUGAGAAUUUCGCACAAGAGUCAAGUUAUAUAUUCUCAAAUCAAUCACACUGCUCUUUCCAUGAGUGGUAGUUGCAAUAUUUAAAAUAAAGUGCAUGUUGUACUUUGGCAAGCCCCCUAUGCAGAUAUACAUGGCUGAAAUCGAUGAAAAAGCGUAAGUUAGAAUCUUACAAAUCAAGGCCUCAAGGAGGAGCAACCAUGCCGUAAUGCAAAUCAAUUGAUCGGUUGCACAAUAAUUGGUGAAAAUUGGGGCAAAUUAUUUUGAAAAGGUUCUCUCGAAAAGAUCAAAAAUCAGGAAAAUUCCUCAAAAAAAAAAACAAAAACACAAAAAAAAAAUUCUUGCGAGCGAAGUUUCAGCGUAUGCCGCGCACCCUUCUAUCCCCCCCCCUUUUCUUGACAAUCACACUUAAUUUCUUGACUAAUUGGAUGGCAGGACUAGGUCUUAUCCCACUGACCAUUCACAAAGAUCACGUUGGGCCUGGAUUUUGUGCCGCCAAUAUCACAAACAUCACGUUGGGCCUGGAUUUUGGCCGCCAACAUCACAAAAAUAACGUUGGGCCUGGAUUUUGUGCCGCCAACAUCACAAACAUCACGUUGGGCCUGGAUUUUGUGCCGCCAAUAUCACAAAGAUAACGCUGGGCUUAGAUUUAAUCUCACUGACCAAUUCAUCACUGGGGCAAAUCUUUGGAUAACUUUCCAAACAAGUCUUAUACAGUUUCUUCAUGCGUACCAGUAUUUCAUUUUGCACUACCACUAGCCGUUGGAUCAGUCCCACUAGUGAGCAUUUCUUUUGCAUCGCCACUAGCCGUUGGGUUAGUCCCACUAGUGAGCACUUCAUUUGCAUUGCCACUAAACAUGGGUUAGUCCCACUAGUGCGCAUUUCAUUUUUCACCGCCGCUAAACAUGGGUCAGUCCCACUAGCGUGCGCUUCAUGUUUCAUUGCCACUAAACAUGGGUUAGUCCCACUAGUGUGCAUUUCAUGUUUCAUUGCCACUAAACAUGGGUCAGCCCCACUAGUGAGCAUUUCAUUUUCAUUGCCGUUAAACAUGGGUCAGUCCCACUAGCGUGCAUUUCAUGUUUCAUUGCCGCUAAACAUGGGUCAGUCCCACUAGUGUGCAUUUUUAUCGCCACUGAAUAUGGGUCAGUCCCACCAGUGAGUAUUUCAUUUCUACUGCCACUAAACAUGGGUUAGUCCCACUAGUGCGCAUUUUAUUUUUCACCGCCGCUAAACAUGGGUCAAUCCCACUAGCGUGCGUUUCAUGUUUCAUUGCCACUAAACAUGGGUCAGUCCCACUAGUGUGCAUUUCAUGUUUCAUUGCCACUAAACAUGGGUCAGUCCCACUAGUGAACAUUUCAUUUUGCAUCGCCGCUAAACAUGGGUCAGUCCCACUAGCGUACAUUUCAUGUUUCAUUGCCACUAAACAUGGGUUAGUCCCACUAUUGUACAUUUCAUGUUUCAUUGCCACUAAACAUGGGUCAGUCCCACUAGUGAGCAUUUCAUUUUCAUUGCCGCUAAACAUGGGUCAGUCCCACUAGUGUGCAUUUUUAUCGCCACUGAACAUGGGUCAAUCCCACCAAUAAGCAUUUCAUUUUCACUGCCACUAAACAUGGGUUAGUCCCACUAGUGAGCACUUCAUUUUGUUCAGGUCAGUCCCAUGAUUUUAAAUUUUGUUCGGGUCAGUCCCAUGAUUUAAAUUUUGUUCGGGUCAGUCUCAUGAUUUUAAAUUUUGUUCGGGUCAGUCCCAUGAUUUUAAAUUUUAUUCGGGUCAAUCCCAUGAUUUUAUUUUUUGUUCGGGUCAGUCCUAUGAUUAAAUUUCCCGUUCGAAUCAUUCCCAUUUUAAAUUUCUUGUUCGGAUCAGUCCCAUUUUAAAAUUUUUGUUAAAGGAGGUCAGUCCUCAUUUUCAAAGACGGCAGUCGUUCGAAUAGUGGCAACCGAAUGACACAGGUAAGUAUUUGGUGUCUACUUCUUUGUCUCAAGUUUUUUCAAAACUCAGACAAAGAGGGGCAAACUGUAGACACCAAAUUUUUGAUUUUUUAACUUUAUUUGUUUAAUUAAUUUAAUAGGUUUACUUGCUUCAAUUCUAGGGUUUUUAUUUUUAUUUUUAUUUUAUUUUGUUUUGGUUUAUUUUAUUUUUUAUUUAUUUUUGUCUUCAUACUGAAUUUCAGAAAAACAAAAGAAAAAGGGAAAAAGAGAAAAAGGAAAAAGAGUGAAAAUGACAAGUGGGGAGGCAUGCAUUUGGACAAGUGUCCCUUUUAUGUUUUAGACAACUACUAAGCACCUAAGGGGUGAGGUGUUAGGGACACUUGGUAAGUUUAAGGAAUUUUUUGGGGGAAAGAAAAGGAAAAAAAGGAAAAAAGAAAAGAUGGGGUUUUAGGGCCGAAGGAGAAGGAGAGAAAUGGGGGGCUUCAGUGGAAAAAAAGGGUGCUUCAUCGGAGCCUAAAAAAAUAGAAGCAAAGAAAGGAAAGAAAGGGGCGGCGGUGGACGGAGGAGCAGAGCAGCAAGGAAGAAGAAAAAAUGGGCUGAGGGGUUGAAAGGAAAAGAAAAUGGGGAAGGAUAGCUAGAGGGGGACGGCUGAUGAAAAGGAAACAUCUGAGAGCAGUAGAGGAGUGACGGCUGAAAAUCUGGGGAGAGUGAGGAGCUUUUGAGAGGUUGGCGGCUGAGGAAAAAAGGAACCAAAGAGCUAAGAGUGAAGACUGGAGAGCAGAGAAUAGGAACCUAGGUUGACGGCUAGAAAAUCCAGAGAGAGAGCCGAGAGAGGGAGAGACCGAGGGAGUAGCAGAUAGGAAAAGAAAAGGAUGGCGAAAAGAAGAGGAGAGUUUGAGAGGCAAAAGGCUAGGGAAAACGUGAAAGUUACGGGGUUUCUCGAGGAAGAAUAGAGGAGAGCAACAGCUGAGAUGGUGAGGAAGGGUAAGGUGGGCAGCUGAGUCGAGGAGCAAAAGAAAAGUGACGGCGAAAAAAUUUUGUGGGAAGGUAUAGCAUCUGAUGACGGCUGGAUAGCUAAGAAAACACGAGAAAAGGGAAGUACUUUGCGGCUGGAGUUGUAAGAAAGCUACGGGAAGGUUUCUCCAUCAAAAGCCUGGGUUGAUACCUUCAUCAAAUUCAAGCUGAGACUUUAGAUUCAAAGGCAGCGAAGAGGUAAUCUUCAACACUGUUUCCUGCCCAUUUCCAUUUCAUAUGAAAUCCAGUUUGCAUAACCAGAGAUUCUGAUUUCUUAUUCAUAUUUGGAUGUUGAAUUGUUGUGCAAAGUUGGAUACUCAUUUGAAUCUCUGGACAAGAAAGCCACGAAACUUAGGAAUCGAAAAGUUGUUAGCUUUCGUACUUUCAACCGAAGGAAUAUGGCCUUUGGGUUGCAAGUGUUGUCCCUAUUAUUUUGUUGGUUCUUACGAUUCAGGUCUUAGGCUGUUUUCUUGAAGUUUUAGGUUCGAAGUCAGUAGACAUUCCUAUGAUCUUUGCGCUGCCGAAUCUUGGGAUUUGAUGAACUUGUUUUAUUGACUUCCUUGUUUAUUUUAUUUUAUUUUUUUUUUUUGUUUUGUUUUGGUUGAUUUUGGGCAUUGGGUUUUUGGAAAUAGAAAGCACGAAUUGCACAAUCUUUUGAGAAGUAGAUGGGUCGUGACUCUGGUUCUUUGUUUGCUUCUUUUCCUUUUUCUUGUUUCUGAUGUAAAAGGGGAAGGAAGAAUGCAUGAAAAAUUUGAACCUUUGCAUCUGGACAGACCUUGUUUUUUUUUUCUUUUUUCUCUUGCUUGCUGAAGUUUAUGCUUGCCUUAGUUUUUCAUUUGGGUUGUUUGCUACGUGAUGGUGAUGCCGUGUUUAUGCUUGCCGUAAUUUAAAGGCAUUUGUUUGUUGCAGCAACAGGCGUUGCCUACAACUUGGAAACAUUUAGUUACUCCAUUUUCUGUUUGGUUGUCAUUGUUUGGCCGCAAAGCGUGAUCUGUUGAAAUUUGUGUUUAUAGCCAAUAACUCUGGGUUCAUUGAAGUGUUCAGUGUUAAGGGAUGUUGGGUGAUAGGUUAGCUGAUUCUGUUUGAAGUUCCGUGUGAGAUUUCUGCAUCAGAAUUGCAGAAAUCAUUUGUUGCUCAAAAAGAAAAUUUCCCCGCGGCUUGGUAUGGGAUUUUUUUUUUAAAAGAAUUCUACACUUUGCUCGUGGUUCUGCAUGUGAGUGAUUUUUGACUCAUAUCAGUUUUCCUUUAGUUGAGUAAGUUCGCAGUUUUGCCAUUGUCCUUUCAUUUUUGUCUUUUGAAUAAUAGUUGUCAAUUUGCCUUCAUCCGAGAAUUUGGAGCUAUGUUUGCUAUGAAUGUUGAGUCUUUUAUUUUGUUCUUGAUUGUAAGAUGAUGGUUGAGAUCUUAGUUCUCAUUUUGUGGAUUUGGUUUGAAGUCUCAGCAGAUGUUUAAGUUAGUUUGGGUUGCUUUUGUAUGAAUACAUCUUGGCUAAAUGAAGGGAGUUGCAUAAAUUGCGUUGUCUGGGAAUGGAAUUGCAGAAAGCUUCUUUGGUGGUAGUUUGCAUGCGUGUUAAAAAAGAAAAAUUGUCUUUUAACUCCCCAACUCCCAAGUAACUCUGAUUUGGCCCAACUAAUUAUAUAAUUUAAUCAUUUUUGUCCCCUUAACAUGCCAUUUUCUCAUUAAUAUGUCUUAACAUGAUUCUUGGAUGGAUUUUAUAAUAAACUUUAGGAUGUAUUUGAAGUUUUGGUUUUUGUUUUUCUUAGAUUAAUGGUUUUAAUUUGGUUUAAUAUGGAUUUUUGAUGUUUUGUGGCUUAAACGUAGCAAAGUGGCAUUUUCAUGUAAUUGGUGGUGGCUUUUAGUUUAAUUCUGAUAGGUUUUAUAUUAAGUCUUUGAUUUUAAUUUAUUUCAUUUUUUAGUACCUCAUCUUAGAAUUUUUCUUAUUUUUUUUAAUCAGGUUCUCGGGUACUUUUAAUUUCUUGAACAUACAUGAUUUAUUAAGUGAUUCCAUUUCAUGUUUAAUUUUCAUUUUCGUGUUUAAUUUUUCGUUUCAUGUAAUUAAUUGUUAAUUAAAAUGAUGCCUUGACCUUUUUAUUAUAUUGGAGGGUAAAUAAGUAACUCGUUCCAUUAGAACCCAACUCAAGAGAGGUACACUCUAUCCCUUAUUUUUACUUUAUUUGACCCUAUGUGUACUUAUGUGAUUUAUGUGUUUAAUUGCAUGCCUUUUGAAUGUUUUCAUUUUAUUUAUUUAUUUAUUCGCUUUAGUCGUCUUAAUUUCGUAUAUUUAUUUUAGUUCAUUUUGAUUAUUUAGAAGGCAUUUAAAUGCCAAGUUGUAAUAGUUAGGUUUAUUUUAUUUAUUUUCGUUUCCCCCGUUGGAUUGUAGUAGGGCCUCCCUAAUGUAAUAGCUAGGGCUUGUUUGCUUUAUUUGCUUGGUAUGCUUUUGCAUGCUUAUGUGCUAUGUGUUACCACUUUUUUAGGGCCUUGCAUCUAGAUAUCAUGCUUAUUUGUUAUGUGUCUAUGUGAUAUUAUGUGUUUACAUGCUUUUAUUAGGUCUUACAUGAUUUAUUUGAUUGUAACAAAUGUAUGUCGUCACCACACUAGUCCAACGCUAGUUGUGGCCCCCUUUCCCGAAUCCACACUAGUCCAAUGCUAGUCGUGGCUCUUUGUUCCAUUUUUCUCACUAGUCCAAUGCUAGUGAGAAUUCAUAGACAUGGGCUAGUCCAAUGCUAGACCCUUAGGAGCCCAUUGGCGCGUUAGAUCAUGAUUGUAUGAUAAAAUCACUUCAUCUCAUGCAUAUUUUUCACUUUCUAGGGUCUUUUACCAUUUUGUAUGAUAUUCCCCUUAUACGUAUAUUCCUUACCCCUUUGUAUGAAAACAUAACAUUAGACUUGCAUUCCCAUUUAGGUAUUAGCACUAGGCUAGUACAUUUGCUUGAUUAGAUUAGGGAAUAACCCCUUGAGUAUGAGAUAUGGACGAGUUUGGCUUUUCUAGCCUUAGCACGCUCGUAUUCCCUCUAUUAAAGGGAAAAUUGAGUCACGAACAUUAGUCCCCCGCACCCGACAUGAUGCACUCCUUUAAGACAUGUAUAUUUAUAUAAUUAUUUUAUCCCUUUUCUUUUCUUAGAGUCUCAUUUUUUUUUUUUGCAUUAUUCGUGACUUCUCCAAAGAGUCCACAUUGGGCAUCACAAUUAAUGUGAUUGGCACCAAUUGAGCUUUGAAGAGAAAUUUCGACCCCCCCCGACACCCUCUUAAGUCUAGGGUAUGCAUUCAUAUAGUACAUCCAAAUGUGAUAAAUGUUUAGGUUAAAAUAAGAAAAUCUUGGACUAAAUCGCGCAACUAGCCUUGGCUAGGUUGAAAGGGUGCCUUGGAUUUUAUCCUUGCCUUUCCUUUCUUCAAAUGUGACUCCCGAAUCUUUUGCUCUGAUUUUUGUAGACUUGGAGUCGUUUAAAAAGGGUUUUUCUACUUUUCUUUAAAAUUCAUUUUUAGGUGACUUGGUACACCUUAAUUCUAUACCAAGUGGCGAUUCCGAUUUUUAUUUCAAAAACCCUUUUUAAACUAUAAUUUGGGCCCAAAUCGUCGCAUUACAAACCCUAUUUAGGCCCUUUUCCUUUAUUCAUUUUCUAAAAACAAAACUCAUUUUUCCAAAAAAAUCAAAAAAUCCAUCUUUCUAAACCAUUCAUUUAUUUAUUAAAAAAUGGGGCGCGACACCCCCUAUGUAUGAUACAUAACAUUAGAAUUGCAUUUCAUUCUAGAAAUAGGAUUAGGGUAGUGCAUUUGCUUGAUUAGAUUAGGGAAAGCCCCUUGGAUAUGGGAUAUGGACGAGUUUGGCUUUUCUAGCCUUAGCACGCUCGUAUUCCCUCUAUUAAAAGGGAAAAUUGAGUCACGAACAUUAGUCCCCCGUACCCGACAUGAUGCAUUCCUUCAAGACAUGUAUAUUUCUAUAAUUAUUUUAUCAUUUUCCUUUUCUUAGAGUCUCAUAUUUUUGCAUUAUUCGUGACCUCUCCAAAGAGUUAUUAUUGGGCAUCACAAUUAAUGUGAUUGACACCAUUCAGAUGCCCAAUUAAUGUGAUUGACACCAUUCAAGCUUUGAAGAGAAAUUUUGCCCCCCGAUGCCCCCCCAGGUCUAGGAUUUACAUUCAUAUAAUACGUCCAAAUGUGAUAAAUCUUUAGGUUAAAAUAAGAAAAUUUUUGACUUAGUCGCGCAACUAGCUUUGGCUAGGUCGAAAGGGUGCAUUGGAUUCUUAUCCUUGCCUUCCCUUUCUUCAAAUGUGACUCCCGAACCUUUUUCGUUGGUUUACGUAGAAUAGGAGUCGUUUAAAAGGGGUUUUUCUUACUUCUUUUUCUUUUAAAAAUUCAUUUUUAGGUGACUUGGUACACCUUAACUCUAUACCAAGUGGUGACUCCGAUUUUUAAUUCAAAAACCCUUUUUAAACUAUAAAUUGGGUCCAAAUCGUCGCACUUUAAAACCCCCAUUUAGCCCCUUUUCCUUUAUUCAUUUUCUAAAAACAAAACUUAUUCUUUCCAAAAAAUCAAAAUCCAUUUUCUAAACUCUUUAUUUUUUUAAAAAUGGGGCGCGACAAAGAGAAUGAUAUUGUUCUAAGUGUGAAUUUCGAGAACGAAAUUCCUUUUAAGGAGAGAAGGAUGUGAGGACCCAAAAAUUUUCUUAUUUUUAUCUUAUUUUACUGGUUUAUUUAAAUAUUUAUUCACCCGUUUUCUCCGAAUAAAUUUAUUUCAACCCUUUUAGAACCAUUUACAUGGAACUAUGACUUACAUAUAUUUUUAAAACGUCCCGUUAAUAAAUUUAAUUUUCAGAAGCUCGUUUAGUAAAAUUUAGCGAAUACGCGUUUGGAAGCAAUAUCCGAUCUGAGAGUACAGUGACCUUGGAGAUUUGAGAACUCAUGUGUUAGUCUUAAAAUAGUUAUUUUUAUGAUUACGUACCCUAGCAUUGGUUAGUUAUAUUAUCGUUACAAGAAUUUCUUAGAAAUUGCGCUUUAUCGCGCGCGAGUCGGAAGUUCACGUUUUCACGCGCGCGACUAAUUGAAGGACUUUAGAAGAUUAUUUUUAGACUACUAAGAGUAAAUAAUUAUAAUGUUAAAAGAAGUGCAUUAGAGGUUUAGUGCACAAGUGAAGCAAACCCGAGAGAAAAUGGACACGAAACGCGCGCGCGCGACACAUUUGUAGUUGACUUUUGGACAAAACUUUGGCCCCAAGUCUUUGAGCUUCUAAGAGACGCUUCAUUCACCAGAUUCUCUCUCUCUCCUCACUCUUAGCUUGGCUGAAACACACAAGGAAGAAGAAGGAGAAAACCCAACUUCACCUUGCACCAUUCUUGCUCCAAUCUUGCCCCAAAAACACCAUCCAACUUCUAACUACUUGGAGAUUCACCUUGGCUUGGAGGUGGAGGUCUUCUAGCCAAGUUUCUUGGAGCUUUUGGUGACCAAAAUUUCUGAUUUUUCAUCAUCUAAGAGGUAGUAAUCAUCCAACCAUCUAAUCUUGGUUUUAGUGGGUUGAUCUUUGCUAGGAAGCUUGUAGCUUCAUUGCUAUUGUUGUUGUUUGGAUUUAAAUGGUUGGAGUGGGUUCUAUGAAAUCCCACAAUGGAUAUAUUGGACUGAUAUGGUGAUAAUGAAUGUUGUUUGAGGUAAUUAUGUAUUAAACAAUAUGACAUUUGUUGGAAAAGUGAAAGGAAAAACCAAAGGAAAAUUGUAUAGGUAGAAGCCGAAGAUCUGCCCUAUUUUUCUUGAAGCUUUGAUUCGAAUUUUUUAUACUCAAAUGACCUUGAAUCUAAUAUAGAUAUGUUUUGUAAGAUGUAUGGAAAGUUUCCACCAAAAAUUACUUGAUUUGGCUGGGUAAAAGUUGAAAUUUUGAAAAUUUUCAAAUCUGGAAAACGUGUAAUAGUGGUCCUCUGGCAGUGUUCUUUGAACAAACACAUCUCUCUGUCCCGAAGUCAGAAUUGAGUACCGUCAGUGGCAUUCAAAACUAGACAUCUGUAGUUUUCUAACAGUGUAUCAUGCACCUUCUAAUUCGAACCGAGUCAUCUGUAGUGAUUGAGCAAAGUCUGCUGUCCUGUUUCAUUGUCAAACCGAGGGAAAGCUAGAAGCUGCAACUUGUGGCUCUAUUUUCUCCCACUUGCCAACUGAAUUUCAAAAUGAGUUGUUCUAAUGAAUUAUAGCCUUUUAAAUGUAGUUUUUCAACUCCACUGACCAUUCCCAAUUCCAACCUGUAUUGAGUGAGAUAUAGUCCAAUUCCCGAACUGUAGCAAAUCUGGAAAACCCUCUUUUCAUGCUGGCUGACUGGUUUGGUUGCUUGUGAGAGGUUUUAUUUUGAGAUUUUGAUGUCAACCAACUAACAAUUGCUUAUGAAAUGUUUCUUGGACCUUGGUUUCACAAAUGACCCAAAAAUUGGACUGAUUUCAUAAUACAAUGUGUUUGAAAAGGAAAGAGAAGCUUGAGUUGACAGAUUUGUUUUGAAAAUUUCACAAACUUCAGUCAUUUUGUUAACUGCCUUCCCACAUGAGUUUUUACGUGAAAUUUGGUAAAGAUAUAGUUCAUAUAUGGAAGAUUUAGUGUACCAAAUUUGGUGUAUUUUCAAUGCCAAUUCGAUGGCCAAAUAAUACUUCAAAGAUAGCCUUUCAAAUCUGGAAAAUGAUUGAACGGUUUAUAAAAUGCGACCAACUUUGAGCUGCUAUUUAUCAAUGCUCAAAACUCCGAUUUCAGUUCGAUUUGUUGUGUUUUAAACCUUAGUUGGAAUUCUAAUUGAGUUAUAAAUUUCAGAGGUUAGUUCACUUUCUGUGAAUUUUGCCGAAUUUCCAAAAUUUGCCAAAAAGUAGGACUGAAACUGUCUUGUAGUGCGAAUCAGCCACUUUAAUGUCUUCCACUUUAAGCUGAAAUUUGAAUGUCUUCCAUUUAGAAUCUUGGAAAAGUGUCUUCUAGGAACUUUUAAUACUUUAAAACAAGAUUCCAACGGCAUAAGAUUUUCCAAUUUUGGACCUAAGGAGUGCAAGAUAUGAUUUUUCAAAGAUUGCUCUUUAACAUUGAAAUUUUCGAACUUGAUGAGAAAUGAGUUUUUGGAAACUUUUCUCUACCCUUUGAUAAUGAUUGAACUCAAUUUCGUGAAGGAAAUCAGUUUUUCUUGUGUUAAUAAAUCCUCACUUUUGAAUCUUGAAUUUUGAGCAAGUAAAGCUCUAUUCCAUGACAUUUUCUUAGAUUGUACAAGUGUACGAUCUCUUUAUUAACAAGAGACUUAUAAGUGAUAGUGUGUGAUAGUUAAUUAUUAUUUGCUCAGGCAUUCAAGGGGACCUUCAAGAGGAUCUCACAGUGGACGCCUAAACCCUCAAUCAGGCACUACUUCCUUGUUUUUGAUUGGUGAGUGUCAAGUGUGUGAAUAAGUGUUGCGUGCUUAAUUGUUAUUAGUGAUUGGGUAUUUUGAAAAUGCCGAGUCGAGUGUGUACUUUAUCGCACUCGUUCUCAUUUAAGUGAAGUGUAUUUGAAUUACUUAAAGUGAAUUACUUGAAGUGAAUUACGUGAAGUGAAUAUUUAAGUGAAGUGUUUCAGUGAUUAUUUAUACUAUGAUUGCAUAAGUCGAUUGGAGUGAAUCUCCUCGACUCUCAGUGAUAAUAAUGGGGACACCCAAAUCUCAUCGGCCGACCUUGCGACUCGAACAAGCAUGGGCUUGGUCGAGAAGCUUGGUGAGCCAUGGGAAAAGUGUAUAAGCGUGAUCUAUUGGAGAGAUCUCGCUUGGCAUACUCGAGUAGUAUCGCCUUAUAUAAAAGAAGAGUGGGCCCGGCGCUGGGGUAUGUAAUGGUGAACGGGGAACGGGUAAGUGAAGUUUCUAUGGACGAAAUAUCGAUCCGGUUGACGGAGUGUCACGGCGGGGAGGUAAUUGAUCGACCAUUGGCGAAGCAAAUGGAACUUAGCUCCUGAGAGCUCCUAUAUUCUUGAAUUAUUUCUGUUUACUUUUCUCACUCGAAUUGUUAUUUACUUGAAUACUACUGAUUUACUUGCUAAAUUGUGAUUGUUACUUGGAUUACGUGCUUGCAUGUGUGUUUCUUGGCCUCACGAGUAAUCGCUCACCCCGUAGAUUUGUUUUCCUUAACAGGUUGGAUUGGAAGAUUUUGGAAAAGCCUACUAGGUUAUACUUUUGAUUGGAAUCUUGGUUGCAAAUGUUUAGUCGACUUUUAAUGGUUGUAUUUUGGGACUUGAUGUAUCUUUCGAGAACAUGAUGUAAGAUUUGGAUAUUCAGUUAAGGAAGCGACUUCUCUUCAUUUUAGACUUAUAUUAUUUGGUAUGUAUCGUUAAGUUUGAAUUGAAUUGUCUUGAGUCCUGGCGAGAACUGGGCAGGUGUUCCACGGAUACCCUUGGGUUCGCCCUUGGGAGAAGUGGGGGUGUCACAGAAUGUGUGUUACUAUUAUUCAUGAAUUAUUUGAACUUACUUGCUUUAUUUCUCGUACUAAUGCCAUGAUUAUGUGAACUAUAUGUUUGCAUGUUUUUUUGGCCUCACUGAGCAUCAGCUCACCCCAUUAGUUUGUUCUUCCUUAACAGGAGCUCGGAAUGGAAGAAUUUGGGAAAGUCAACUUGUGUACUUUUGAUUAGACUUUUGGAAUGUAAUUGACUAGUUGACUUUUAGUGGUUGUAUUUUGGGAACGUUGAUGUAAUUUUGAGAACUUGUGGUGUAAAACUUGAAAGCUUAUUUAAGGGAGAAACUUUUUCUUAUUUCGACUUCUAUUCUUGGUUAUGUAACUUUAAGUUUGAGUUUGACUUGUAUCGAGUCCUGGCGAGAGUUGGCCAGACGUUUCGCGGAUACCCUUGGAUUCGCCCUUGGGAGAAGUGGGGGCGUCACAAAUUUCCCAGUCGCACUAGCUUGAUCCAACCUCAUUGACACUCCAUCAACGUUUAGAGAACCAAAAAAAAAUAUUGACCGUAGAUCCCCACUUUAUACCAGUUUCCAUCCACCCCUUACCAAGCCCGAAUACCAAACAGAAACAGUGGUGGUAAUACUCGAGUAUACCAAGUAUCAGAAGGAUUCAGUAUUUAAUGAAUCAGUAACAGUUUCCUCAUGGUUCGUCAAUCUAUCUCGACCAAACCCUUGCUGACUUGAUUCGAUUAACUACUAAUGAGGUUUGAGCUCAAUUCACAGUAUGGUCGCCGGAUAUUAUGUGAGAACCCAAAAUUUUCAUACCUUUCAUUUUGGCUUACUUGCUUGUAUAUAUAGUGAAUGAUAACGGACUGUUAUACCUUAUUGUUUCUUUCAAUUGAUUGCCUAAUAUUUUGUGGCAUGACAUAUUUAUGGAAAGAAAGAGAUUUUAAUACAAGAGAUUUCAAACCCUAGCUUUGACUAAGAAAAAAAAGGUUUUGUUCAUUUUUUGGCUCACUUUUAGAUGUUUGCAAGUUGUGUUGUGACCCGACAGUUUGUUACAUAUUUUCUUUGAUUUUUAUUUACUUGCCUUGAAUUCUUGGUUGUUUUAUUAGUUGAAUCAUGAUUUUGACCUAUAUUCUUAUUUUACUUGGUGCAUGUUUCAUUUGAUGCAUGUUAAGUCUCAUAGUACAUGAUACUAAUGUGAUUGACUAGUGAGGUGCGUAUCAUGAAUUUGGAGGAUUAGAGGAAGUUUUGGGUAAAAGAAAUAUUAUGUUACAAGGUGUUAAGAGAUAAUUAGAGAUGAGAUGGAUAUUUUGGUGAAUGGAAGACAACUAGAUAAGGAUUACAUCUUGAUUUGCCAUUUGUCAAUAAGCCACCAAGUUUGACCAAGACUAAAGCUUGAUCUUUAUCCUUAUUAAGCUUCUAUUUGACCACAAAAUAAUCUCCUUCACUAAGCUUCUUUGGCUGGAUGAAAUUUGAGAGAAAAAGGAGAGAAAAAUACUCCAUUUUCAGCCUUAAUCUCUUGCUUGAAUCAUGAAGAAAUCCAAAGAAAAAACCUAAUCCACUCCAUAAAACCUUGAAUCAAUCUUGGAAGGAAGCUAUUGGAGAAGUUUUGGAGGAAGAAAGCCUUGCAACCUUCUUGAUUUGUUUGCUAUCCUUGGGUUUGGAGGUAAAGAGGUGAACUUUGCUAGAAAUCUUUCCUUAUUAUUGAGUUUAAUUGAUAUAUGAUGUUAUAGAAGCUAAAGGAAGGAUUUAUAUGGUGGAUUUCAUGAUUUUUAGGUAAUGUUGAGAAAUUUCCAGCUUUUGUUUUGUAAGGAAAAGGAAGGUAAAAAUUGCUAUAAAACCUUUCAUUUCUCCAUUACUUUUGGGUAUUCCAGUUGUAUGUUAAAUUUAAGCCAAAAGGUAUGAGUUUUGUGGAAGAAAAAUCACUUUUCUAAAUUAUAGGUUGCUGAAAUUUUGAUAUAGGGGCAUGUGAUGGAUAGUUUUGAUUUGCAGCCUUGUAAUUGGAACCUUAAUGGAUUUAUUUGGUAAGAAUACAUGCUAUAUAACUCAUGACAUGUUGGAUAUGAUAUAUUGUAUAACUGCCAUGGAAAUAAGGUUGAAAGUUGGAAGUUUUGUUGGAAAGACUUGGGAAAAAUUUACUGAAAUUUCUGCUAGAGUUGGCCGAUUAGGAGAGUGGAAAUUGUCCAGCUUUUCACCAUGAUUUGUGACUGGUAAAUCUUACUUUGUUACUCAAUAUACUUUAUAAUACAUUAAUCUAAAGACGUAUGUUGGAAUUGAGUGAAAAUUAAAGAGUUUUAAGGGGGGGAAACUUUGUUCCUCAAACUUUACAUUUGCUGGAAAUUUUCACAGGAAGCCCUGCGCAGCUUUGGAAAAUUAGCUAUAACUUCAUAUAGAAAAGUCGGAAUUGAGUUUCGUUUAUUGCGUUUGAAACUAGACUAUAGGGCUUUCAACGGUAUAAAAUUUAGGGUUUGGUUCAACUCCUAUAAAUACCAGAAAAUUUGUAAAUUUUCUUGAAAACCAUGACUGUUCUGUUUUUGCACAUGAGACAGCAGUGUGUUUGAACAGAAAUUUGACUAACUUAUGAGUUGAAUUUCAUGAAGAUGUCUUCUAAAGCCUGUUAGUGCUUCGUGUGACGCCCCCACUUCUCCCUAAGGCGAACCAAAGGGUAUCGGCAGGAUGCCUACCCAAUUCUCGUCAGGACUCGAUACAAUUCCAAUUCAAACUUAAGGAUAAAUAACCGAAUAACAAAAUUCAAAGGUAUAAAGAAAAGUCGCUUCCUUAAAAUAUUCAAACUUACAUCACAAGUUACCAAAAAUACAUCAACAUUCCCCAAAAUAUGCAACCUCCAAAAGUUGUCUAAACAAUUACAUUCAAAACCCUAAUAAAAAAUCCAUCAAGUUGGCUUCUCCAAUUCUUUCCAUUUCGGUUCCUGUUAAGGAAAACAAAACUAAUGGGAUGAGCUAACGCUCAGUGAGGCCAAGAAAAACAUGCAAACACAUAGUUUAAGUAGCAAUAGCACUUAAGCGAGAAAUAAAGCUAUAACGUUCAAGCAAUUCACAAUUUAAAAUAGACACACUCAAUGAGGAUACAGAAGCUCUCAGGAGCUAGAUUCCACUUGCUUCGCCAAGACUCGAUCAAAUACUUCCCCGCGAUGACACUCCGUCAACCGGGUCAGUAUUAAGUCCGUAGAACUCCACUUUCUUCACAAUUCCCGUUCACCGUUACAAUCCCCAGUCCCGGGCCCGCUCUUCUAUAAAAGGCACUACUACUCGAGUAGGCCAAGCGAGAUCUCUUAAUAGAUCAAGCUUACAAUUAUCUCAUGGUUCACCGAGCUUCUCGACCAAGCCUUUGCUGACUCGAGUCGCAAGGUCGGCCAAUUGAGAUUUGGGCGUCCCCCAAUUACCAUUAUGAGUCGAUGAGAUUCACUCCAAUCGACUAAUACCGUUAUAGGCCGAUGAGAUUUACUCCAAUCAGCAUUCAAUCAAUCACAUACAAUUCAAUUAUGAGCAGUUCAGUUAUACAAUCAGUUAUAAGAGAACGAGUGUGAUAAAAUACACACUCGACUCGACAAUCAUAAAUCAUUUAAUCCAUAAGAAGCAAUUAAUAUAAUUGGCAACUAUUCAUGCACUUGACACUCACCAAGUCAAAAGUGAGUAAGUGCUCAAACAAUCUUUUAGACGUCCGCUUCGAGAUUCUCUUGAAGAUCCCCUUGAGCGCCUGAGCAAAUAAUAAUUGACUAUCACUCACUAUUACUUACAAACCCCUUGCUAACAAGGAAGAAUGUACACUUGCAAUACUAAGACUGUGACGACCCCAUCUUCCCCUAAGGCGAACCAGAGGGGUCGACAGACCGCCUGCCCAGCUCUCGCCAGGACUACAAACACGAAACAAACAAACCGAAUCGAACUUGCAAAGAGAAAAUCAAUAAAGCAAGCAUACAAACCUUUUUAAAAGGUUCUUAUUACCACAAAGUCAUCACGGAAGAAAGUAUAGCUCGCGAGCACUUGAAUUGGUCAAGAAAACGAAAACGGAAAAAUUUGCCGCGGAUGAACAGUAACCAGCCGCGUCACUAUCCGGCCGGAUUCUCGGCCGGAUAGGAGGCAGUGGCUGGACCCCAAAGGGGUCGAAAUUCCCCUGUCAAUCCGGCCGACAAUCCGGCCGGAAGUUGGCCGGAUUGCGUCCAGUGGCCAAAAUGCCAAAUUUUUUUUCCUUCCCCUGCAUAUCCGGCCUUGUAUCCGGCCAGAAACUGGCCGGAUUCUUGGCGACAGUUUUUCUAAAACUUUUCUUCCUUCGUUCGAAAAUCGUUGUUCGCCCCAAACACUUCAAACACAUAAUGUAGUGAAUCCAAGACUUGAUAAAGACAUAUAUACAUGUCAUAUAUACAUGAAAAGGGGUCACUUAUACAAUUCCAAAAGAUACUUGAAUUCAAAUACAUCCAAGUUUCAAGUUUUAGAAGAGCUUUACAAAACUAGCUAUCUAACUAGCUCAACUCAUUUCAAAACUUGAGUCCGGCGGUGCUCCUGUAAGGAAAACAAAAUAACAGGGGUGAGCUUACGCUCGUGAGGUACCAAAUUACCAAACCAAUGAUACAAGCCAUCAAACACAUAUGCAUAAAAGCCUUCACUCAAUCCACCAUAUACAAAAGGAUACAGUCGGCCCUCAAGGGCCGUUUUCCAAUUGCCAUACUUGAUCGUACUCGUUGACACUCCGUCAACCAAUGGAGAAAACCAAGAACCGUAGGCUCCUCUUUACACCAUUUCCUUCCACCAAUCACCCCCUUAUCGGGCCCGCACACCUCACAGUCACAAACGGUCAUACUCGAGUAUACCAUAAGGUCGAGGAGUGAACACUCCACUCGACUAUCAGUGACCCAAAGGCACGUCAACGAUUCGCCCAAGCUCUAGCCGGCUCGACUCGAAUAACGGCCCAAGGGAAAGAGCUCAGAUUUCACAGUGAUCAUAGGGCAUGGCCCUAACAAAUAUCAACCCAUAUAUAUACAAGACAUUGAACAGGCCAACAGUAUCAAUAGCACAAGAACAGUAACAAGAACACAAGUAGGUGGUCAAGAGCGAUAAAGUACACCCUUGACCCAUUCAAGCCAUACAAGUCACGUAUUAAGUGCAUUCAACCAUUUAAUGAUACACUCACCAAGCAACCAAGUAAAUCACACGUUCGAGUCAGGUGUAGGUCCCGGUCCACCGGUACGACCUAAAACAAGCAAGAAAACAUAUUUGAAACUCAACUCAAUCACGAGUCAAUGUACAAUGAACCUACUAAUAUAAGUUACUCAAAAUCAAAUGGAGCAACGAAGGUGCGGAAUGUGAACAAACUCCCCAAUUCUUCCAUUUCUAUUCAAACCUUCUCAAUUCAAGACAACCCAUACCCCAACCAAUUGGGCGGCAUUUCCCCUUAAUUUCUUCACAUUUCCAACCUAACCAACAACAUCAAACUCAUACCAAAACACUUACAAAUCACAAACGAGUACAUACACCUUAUUUGAAUCACAAUACCAUCAAAUAUACAUCAAUUGCUAGCAUGAGAACCACAUAUAGAAAAGCCCCAAUUUCAUACUAAACCCUAAAUCCGAAAUUCUCUCAAAUGCUGAAAUUUUCCACAAUUCACCACCAUUAUCACAACUAGGCUCUAAAUCAUUCAAUAUAAACCCAUCACACCUUACUCAAGCAUAAGUUAUCACAUAAAACAGAAAAUUCCUCAAUAAAUAGAAAAUCAUCACAACUCAAGUAUAAAUCAUGAAAUACUCCAUAAAAUAGCCUCUUUAACUUCUAACCUCUACUAAUCUCACAUUACCACUAAUAAAGAGAUAAGUUCUCAACUACUCACCUUACAAAUACUUGAUAUGAGAUGGAUGAGAGCUUUUCCUUCCAAACUAAAACCACCAAGCCCUUCAAGCUCUAUCAACAAGAGGAUUUUAUGGAGGAAUUGGAGAAUUAAACGGUUGAAUUCCAAGAUUGGGCCAAGAAAAGCAAGCAAAAGUUGAAGAGUUUCUCUCUUUUUUUCUCUCUAGUUGGCCGGCCAAGAGGAUGAAAAAUGAGAAAGAAUUUUGGUCACCAUUCAAUUUAGUAAAGGUAUAAGAAAAGUCAAAAGUCCAAGGCCCAAUAGAAUUGCAACAAGUGUCAUCCAAGCUUAUCUCAUUCUUGUCUUACAACACCUAAUUAAACCCACUAACCUCUAAUUAACUCAUAACACUAGGUAAUAAAGCCUCCGUAUCUACAAUUGCCCACAGCUACAUCUUACCGUACCGAUCGGCUUAGUGGGUCCCACAUACACGGUAUUCCCUUAAAACACAGAAAAUGACCUAAACCCAGAACAUAAUGCAAAAUUCAUAUUUCCUCAUACAAUUCCCCAGAAAAGCCACAUAUUAAAGAAAACCCUAGCAGUAGGCCCAAUAUAAAUGCCUCGAAAAUAAGAAAAAUUUCGGGGUCUCACACUCUCUCCCCCUUAAAGAAUUUCGUCCUCGAAAUUUCUCACCUGAGUCACUAAACAGUUCGGGAUAUUUGGUUUUCAUCUCAUUCUCCAUCUCCCAGGUUGCCUCCUCGACUCCGUGGUUCUUCCAUAGAACUUUCACCAGUGGAAUUUGCUUAUUCCUCAGCUCCUUAACUUUCCUAUCCAGUAUUUGCACAGGUUUUUCUUCGUAAGUAAGGGCCUUGUCAAUUUCAAUCUCUUCCGGCUGGACCAGGUGUGAGAACCCGUAAAACCCUAAUUAUUUUCCUAGGGUUUAUUUCCCCUUAAUUGCAUGUUUUCUGCAUUUUCGGGCCUAGGAAUAUUUUUCUGGUAGAUUUUAUGAGUAAUUAUAGUUUUUAGAUGAUUUUUCUAGUAUUGGUGAGUUUUUAGAAAAUUAAGAAUAUAUUUUGGACGUAGGACCCACUAGUGCGAAAAGUUUGGAAAAAUUCGGCCAAUAAGGUUAAGUUUCGGAUACAGUGAAAAUUUUAUCGGGUGUUAAGAGAUAAGUAGUGUGUGUGAAGUGAUUGAUGUGAGAGAGAGAAAAGAAUGAUAAGGAUGCAUUUAUGGAGGUGACAAGUGUCACCUUCCCAUUUGUUGGACUUUAAGAAAUACUAUUCACUUUCUUGACUUUUUUUGACCAAAGGUUUAAAUAUCAAAAUAAAUAUAAAAAAAAAAUGCACAAAAAUCACCAUUUUCUUACCUCUUAUGGCCGGCCCUCUCCUUGCAAAGAAGAAAGGAAUUUCUUCAACUCUCAAGCUUCCAUUUCACUCAAUCUUGCAAGAACAAAAGCCUACACUAGAUUCUAUUCCAUAAAAACCUUUCUUCUAGUGCUUGUAAGUGUAUUAGUGAAGUUGUUUUGAAGCUCUAAGGUGGCCAACCUCUCUAUCUCUCUUAAUUUCUUGGUAAGUGAUGCUUGAACACCCUCCUAUAUUUAAUGAUGUUGAAUUUAUGCUUAAUGGUGGCAUGAGUGAAGGAAUAUAUGAUUUGUUUCUUGAUUUGGCUUGUUUUGGUGAAGUUUUUAUUUUAUUGGGAAUUUUUCUGGUUUAAUAGGAUCUUGAUGUUGGGGGCUUGUAUGAUGAAUUGUAAUGGUUGGAAAUGACUCUGGUGGGUGUGAAUUGUUGUUAAAUGCAACCAAUUUUGGAAUUGGAAUGAAAUGUGCAAAGUUAGGGUUCAUGAACCCCUAUUCUGUCCGAAAAUUUAGGUCAUAGCUAGAGGCCGAUUUGGACUUUUCUCAAAACAUGAAAGUUGUAGGUAUUGAUGAUUUUAGUGUGCCUGCAAAAUUGCAGGGAAAUUGGACAAGUGUAGAGUGAGUUAUGCCGUUUUUACUGUUGCUGUUUUUGGUGCACAGAAUGUCUGAACUGCGAUAGUAAUUGCCUGUUUUGACUGGAAUUGGUUUGGAUUUUGAAGUUGGUGUAUUCUAAGGAUAUGUAGCUGGAUGUCUUAGCUAACUUAUUCCUUUGGAAUUUCGGCAUUUGGACCUGUGUAGGCUGAGAUAGACGUAUUACAGUUUUGUGUGUUUUGCAAAUCUGUUUUGGUAAUUCUGGUUUGGUAUUUGGCACUUUUGACCUAGUUGUGCUAGGAUUUGGACUGAGAGGCCUUCUACAUUGUUGUAGCCCUGUUUCAUAGCUUCGAAACGGUGGGUCUUACACCCCUAACCGAUAAUUGUAGUGAGAGUUGUGCCAUUACCGCAUUAUGACGUCAAAACCGGUUUUCUUAUCAAGGCCAACAUUAAAGCCUUUCUUAAUUUCUGGUUUGCUUUCAUGCUUGUAUAUGUUUAUAAAACCCUAUUGGGGUUGUGAAUUGGUGUUGUUUAUGGCUCGGUAUGGUUUCUUGUUUUAUGAUAUUGUGAGCUAUGGAACGGCUCUUGACAUGAAAUGCUUAUAUGUGUGUUGUUGGGUUGUGAUUGAAGAAAAAUAAUGAAGCCUUAUGGCUGGAAAUUUUGGUAAACACAAAGGGCAUGCUGCCCGAAUUUUUACUCGAGAUUUAGAAAACUAUAUUCUCGACUUGAGUAAAGGUUAAGUAUUUAACCCUUGAAUUUCCAUGCAUGAAACCCUAUUGGGCGAUAAUUGGUUUGACUUUAUGACUCGUUAUCGAGUCUUAUGGUAUUUGUUUACAUGUUCUAGGGCGUGACGAUAGCUCACGACAUUCUCCUGACGGAAGUGCAUGAAAUAGCACUUAAUUGAUUGGUGAGUUUACUACUCACUUGUGUGCUAUUAUAUGGCUUUGAUAUUUGAACUUGAGAUGUUGUAUGUUAAUGGAUUGAUGUGAGAGUGUACUUUAUCACUCUCACUUAUUGUUUCACAUGUUAUUGAAAAGUUAUUGAAAAGUUAUUGGAAAGUUAUAUGAACUGAUAUAUGAAAUGAAAUACAUGACUUGAUAUCGAUUGGACAAGUAUCCAACGACUACAAAUGUUAUCAUUGAGCUCAACCCCAUUGGUAGUUGAUUGAAUCGAGCCGACAAGGGUUUGGUCGUGACAAUUAAUGAGCCUUGGGUAAAGUUAUAAGGAAUCUUGUAGUAUGAGAGACUCUUGAUUCCGGUAUACUCGAGUAAUACCACAGUGCAAGUGUUUGGAGUGCGGGCCCGGUAGGGGAAUGUUUGGUGGAAGGAAUGGGAGAGAAGAGGAGUCUACGGUUGGUCACUCUUCAACAUUGACGGAGAGUCAAUGAGGUUGGAUCAAGACAUAAGCGUGGAAAUGGGCUCUUGAGAGCCGACCGUAUCCUUUCACUGAUUUACUUUACUUCGAAAUUGCAUACUUGAAUUGAAUGGUUUCGCUUAUGUGAUCUUAAUUGCUAUUGUGAUAGUUGCUCACUGAGCUUUAGCUCACCCCGUUCCUUUUGUUUUCCUUACAGGAAUAUGACUCUUUUGGAAUGAAUUUUGAUAAAUGGUUGCCAAAUGAACUAGAUGAAUGACUCUUUUGUAUUGUAUAUAAAAUGGGACCCUAAAUGUAUCAUUAGGGCCGUUUUCACUUUUGUUUUGGCAAACCAUAUAUGUAGCGACUUUUGUAUCACUUUUAAAUGUCAUUUUGGUUUGUAAAGGCUAAAUGUUAUGUGGUUUAUGUAAUUCGAUGUUUGGUUGGGUUCGGACGAGUCGGUUACUAUUCAUGGCCGACUCCGGGUUUCAUUUUCUUUUAUUUUGGGUUAUUUUGCCCUUUUGCCUUAUUUGCGCGCGUUAUAAGUUCCGGAACGUGAAAGAUCGCUCUAUACCGCACCGUUAGUCCUGGCGAGAGUUGGGCAGGCAGUCCGCUAACCUCUUUGGUUCGCCUUAGGGGAAAGUGGGGCUGUCACACCAGGUGAGUGGGAUCGGGGUAAUACUUUUUGAGCAUGGACACAUGAAAUACAUCGUGAAUCCGCGACAGGCUCGGCGGUAACUCAAGUCGGUAUGCUACUUUUCCAACCCGUUGGAGGAUCGGAAAAGGUCCUACGAAUCUGGGUUGGAGUUUCUUUCCUCUGCCGGCAGUGACACUCCGCAACGGGGUAAUCUUCAAGAAUACUUGGUCUCCUAUUUCGAAUUCCAGAUCUUUCCUUCGAUUAUCGGCGUAGCUCUUCUGACGACUUUGGGCUGUCUGGAGUCUUUGACGGAUUAGCUUAAUCUUUUCUUGGGUAUUCUCCAUCCAAGGAAUAAUGGUAGGGUCUAUGAUCUUCCUUUCUCCUACUUCAUCCCAGUAUAUCGGUGAACGGCACUUUCGCCCGUAAAGCGCUUCGUACGGUGCCAUUUGGAUUGAUGAAUGGUAACUGUUAUUAUAGGCGAACUCUACUAACGUCAUGUGCUGCCCCCAAUUACCUCCGAAAUCUAGAAUACUCGUUCGUAACAUAUCUUCGAGGGUCUGAAUUGUUCGCUCCGACUGUCCAUCCGUCUGAGGAUGAUAGGUAGUACUCAAGUUCAGCUUCGUCCCCAGAGUUUCUUGAAACUUUUGCCAAAAUCUGGACACGAAACGAGGGUCUCGGUCAGAAACGAUGCUCAGUGGCACUCCAUGUAAUCUCACUAUCUCCUCCAAGUAUACUCGAGCUAACUUAUCCAUGGAAUACUUCAUAUUCACAGGUAGGAAAUGAGCCGACUUGGUCAAUCGAUCGACGAUCACCCAAACGACAUCAUGUCCUUUUUGAGUUCUAGGUAGUCCAGAAACGAAGUCCAUGGUGAUAUGUUCCCAUUUCCAUUCGGGAAUCUCCAAAGGCUGCAAUAGUCCCGAAGGCUUCUGGUGCUCAGCCUUAACUUGCUGGCACACUAAACAAGUUUGUACGUACUGAGCUAUCUCUCUCUUCAUCCGGUCCCACCAGUACAAUCGUCGCAAAUCAUGAUACAUCUUGUUACUUCCUGGAUGGAUUGUAUAUUUAGAUCGAUGAGCUUCCUCCAAAAUCUCCCUUCGUAACUUCUCAUCAUUGGGCACCACUAUUCGGUUCCUAAACCUUAAAAUCUCUUCAGGGCUCAAAUUAAAAUCGGAAAGUUCUCCUUUCUUCACUUUUUCUAUCCACUUUUGGACCGUCGGAUCUUUACUUUGAGCUUCCUUAAUGUGACAGCCCCACUUUCCCCUAAGGCGAACCAAAGGGGUUAGCGGACUGCCUGCCCAGCUCUCGCCAGGACUAACGAGCAGUUACACGCGUUCUAAAACGUUUCGGGAAAGUAAAAGCGCGCUCGGACAAGCCACAAGUCUCAAAAUAACAAAAUAUAUAAAAAAAACAAAAACGAUGAAUAGUGGCCUGGACAGCAGAAUCCGGCCGGAAUCUGGCCGGAUUAGCGGCCGGAUUCUUGGCCGGAUACUGUCCAGUGAGCAAGCUCACGGAUUCAAAAAUUCCCAAGCAAUCCGGCCGACAAUCCGGCCAGUUUCUGGCCGGAUUCCUGGCCGGAUUCAGUCCAGUGCCUUUCCGUCAAAAAUUUUCUUUUUGCCGUUUGCAAGCCGAAUCGUUCCGAAAGUCAACCAAACAUCAACCAAGCAUAUAUACACUAAAAUUCAAUAUUUACAACCACAUUGGCAUGUCAAAAGCUAUUUAUCAUGAAUACACAUGUUUGGUUUGCCAAUCAAAAGAUGAACCCAUUACACAUUAGGGUUUCAUGCAAGAGCGAUUCAAAAUAGGCAUAUACAUGGCUCAAUUUGGCAACCAACUUCCAAAAGUGAUCAUUUUCCUGUAAGGAAAACAAAUGGAAUGGUGUGAGCUAAAGCUCAGUGAGCAACGAUCACACAAUCAACCAAUACCACGUAAGCAUAACCGUUCAUUUCAAGUAAACAAUUAAGAAGCAAAACAAAACGGUAAAAGGAUACGGUCGGCUCUCAAGAGCCCAUUUCCACGCUUACAUUCUUGAUCCAACUUCAUUGACCCUCCGUCAAUGUUAAAAGUACCAAACCGUAGACUUCUCUUCACUUCCAUUCCUUCCACCCAACAUUCCCCAACCGGGCCCGCACUCCAAGCAGUAACUUUAGGUGAUACUCGAGUACACCGGAACCAAGGGUCUCAUUACCACAAGAUUCCCAUUUCAGUCCCCGUGGCUAGUCAAUUUUCAUGACCAAGCCCUCGCUGGCUCGAUUCAAGUGAAUGCCAACGGGGUCGAGCUCAGUACAGUAGGGCCGUUGGAUACUCGUCCAACCAACACCCAAACAAUUUUCAUGAAUGAAAUCCAAGAAGUCAUAUAGCAGUACAGUAAUACAGUGAAACGGUAAACAAUCGGUCACAAGAAUAAAAGGAAUGAGGGCGGUCAAGUACACCCUCACCCUAAUCAUUUCCAAUAGCCAAACAAGCCUUCAAGGCAUCACAAUCACAUAUAGCAAAGCCACAUUAUAAAUCCAAGUGAGUAGUAUACUCACCAAUCGAUUUCAUGCACCGUCGUUAAACGAACGUCGUGCACCACCGUUUCCUCCUAGAACAAGUAAACAAUUACCAUAAGACUCGAUAACGAGUCAUGAAUCAACACUAAUCACAACCCAAUAGGGUUUCAUAUACAUAAACAAGCAUCAUAAGCAAACCAGAAAUUAGAAGUAGCACUAGCCUUGGCCCCGAAUAGAAAAACUGUUUUGCCCUUAUUAUGCGGUAAUGGCGUCAAAUUCACUACGGUUAUCGGAUGGGGGUGUAAGACCCACCGUUUCGAAUCUAUGAAACAGGGCUACAACAAUGAAGAAGGCCUCUCAGUCCAAAUCCUAGCACAACUAGGUCAAAAAUGCAGAAAACCAAGCCAGAACCGUAAUUGCAGGUUCCCAAAUCACACAAAACUGUAAUCAGUCUAUCUCAGUCUACACAGGUCCAAAUGCAUUGAUUCCAAAGGCAUAUGAAAGCUAAGACAUCAAGAUACAUUUCAUCAGAAGACACCAACAACAAAAUCCAAACCAAUUCCAGUCAAAACAGGCAAUUACUAUCGCAGUUCGGACAUUCUGUUCACCAAAAACAGCAACAGUAAAAACGGCAUAACUCACUCUAUACUACUCCAAAUGCCCUGAAAUUUUGCAGGCACUUCAUACUAAUCAAUACCUACAACUUUCAUGUUUUGAGCAAAGUCCAAUUCGGCCUCUAUCUAUGACCUAAAAUUUCGGACAGAUUAGGGAUUCAUGAACCCUAACUUUUCACAUUUCAUUCCAAAUCCAAAAUUGAUUGCAUUUAUCAUCAAUUCACACCUACUAGAGUCAAAGCCCCUUAUUACCAACCAUCAAAAACAACCACACCAUCAAGAUCAUAUGAAACCAGAAAAUUCCUCAUAAAAUUGAAAACUUCACCAAAUCAAGUCAAAUAAAGAAAUAAAUCACCAAAUACUUCACUAUCACUUCCAAUAGGCACAAUUUAAGCAUCAUUAAGUGUAAGGGAGUAGGCAAACAUCACUUACCUAAGAGACAAGAGAUGUAGAGAUGUUGGCCACCUUAGACCUUCAAACAAACUUCACUAAUACACUUACUAGCACUAGAAGAAAGGUUUUUAUGGAGUAGAAUCUAAUCUAGGCUUUUGUUUGUAGGAGAUUAAGGCAAAUGGAAGCUUGAAAGUUGGUGGAAAUUCCUUUCUUCUUGGCUCAAGGAGAACUGGCCACAAGGAGAGAAAUAUGGUGAAUUUUGUGCAAUGUUUUUGAUAUUUAAUCCUUUGGUCAAAAAGUCAAGAAAGUAAAUAGUGUUUCUUAAAGUCCAACAAAUGAGAAGAUGACACUUGUCACCUCAUUAAAGGCAUUCUUAUCUUUCUUUUCUCUCUCACAUCAAUCACUUCACACACACUACUUAUCUCUUAACACCCGAUAAAUUUUUUCACAGUAUCCGUAACUUAACCUUAUUGGCCGAAUUUUUCCGAACUUUUCGCACUAGUGGGUCCCACGUCCAAUAUAUAUUCUUAAUUUUCUAAAAAUUCUCCAAUACUAGGAAAAGCAUCAAAAAACCAUAAUUGCUCAUAAAAUCCACCAAGAAAAUAUUCCUAAGCCAGAAAAUGCAGAAAACAUGCAAUUAAGGGGAAAAACCCUAGGAAAAACAUUAAGGGAAAAAUGCGGGUUCUCACACUCUCUCCCCCUUAAAAGAAUUUCGUCCUCGAAAUUCCUUAUCAUUGGCUACUCCGGGAUUACAUUGAGCAUUUUACUUAGCUAACAAAUCUGUACCCCCUUCACUGGCCAGGUUCAGGAAAUUCUUACCUUCCACGUCCUCUAAUGGGUCAAAGACUUCAUGUUGUUCUAAAGAGUACACCCGAGAGGACACUUUCGAUCCAUCCUUGUCCCCCUUCGACUGGGCAGGGUUGGUCGUAGUUGGUGGCAGAGUCCCUUGCCGCUCGCGCAGGCGAGGUGGACAGUUAGCAAUUUGAUGUUCGGCACUCCCACAGAGCAAGCAUUUUCCUCAUUUCUUCCAGCAAUUGUCCUCCGAGUGGUUUAAUUUUCCGCAAUACCCGCAGGGUCCGCGUGCUGUAGAAGCCGAGCCUCCUCUUGACGGGCUCUCUUGUGACACGCCUGACAUCCUUACUCCUCCCGUUCCCCGCCCAAACUUGGGAGCGGUACUUUCAUCCCCCUGCCCCGAACUACUUCCCGGAAAUCCUCUCUUUUUCGCCUGGAAGUUUUUCACCUGGAGCCUAGCAUUCUCUACUCGUUGUGCCUUCUCCACUGCUUCGCUGAAGGCAUUAAUUUGGGCUGCCGCAAGGUCCUUUUGAAUCUCUACGUUCAAACCCUGAAUGAAGCGCCUAACCCGUCGUUGCUCAGUUAUGAUUAAUUCCGGCGCAAACUUGGACAGGCGGGUAAACUGACUCUCGUACUCUGCCACAGUCUGAGCCCCUUGCCGGAGCCGGAUAAACUCGUCCUCCUUCCUCUCCUGGACUAAGGGAGGGAAAAACUUUGCAUUAAACUCCCGGAUGAAGUUCACCCAAGUCCUAGGUGUCUGCUCCCGCUCCCAUUUCUGUCUAAUUACGUUCCACCAGGAACGGGCAGCCCCCUCGAGUUGACACACGGCAAAAGUCACCUGCCGUUCGUCUGGGUAAUGUAAAGCAGCAAAUAUAUCAACCAUUUUCUCAAGCCAUUUCUCAGCAACGUCUGGAUCGGGUCCCCCAACAAAUUUCGGCGGAGCGAACUUUUGGAAACGUUCGAGAGCUCUAUUCUCGCUCUCGACAUGGUGGCCAGGGUUUCCGGGGUUUCCAGGGUUAGGGUUUGGGUUCUGAGCUUGUUGCUGCACUACUUGUGUAAGCAGGUUUGUCAUUUGCUGCAUAGCAGCAGCUAUCUGGGCAUUAGGGUCGGCUUGGGGUUCAGGAUCAGGUCCAGUCGAGGUUUCCCCCGCACCCCUAACCGGUGUGGGUUGUCUAGCACCACGCCCACGUCCCCGACCACUCCGAGUACCUUCCAUAAAGUUUACUUGGUCUAGGCAAGAGUACUAAACCAAAGUAGUAACAAAGCAGGUAAGUAACUCUCAAAACUUUCACAGUCACACAUAUUUAUACAGUCCAAACAGGAUCACAAACGUAUAUAUAUACAAGCCAAGCAAGAUCAAGCCACACACAUAUAUACAAUCAGUCGAGUCAAGUACAGGCAAGUCAGAAACAAGCAUAGACGAUCCCCCGAGGAAUGGCCUUACUAGUUCACCAAAUCCUUUCUAACCUAGGCCCUCAUAUCUUUCGUAUCCGGGCGCAAGAAUCCCAUCUAAGAUAAUUCACAACUCGAGCCGGCCGGUCCCAAGAGUAAACCAUCCUUAUUAAAGAUUCCUACCCGACAUACAUACCUAGCUUCCUCGAGUCCCAUGCUAACGAUUCGUACACUUAUCACAUGCCCGAUUCAUAACUUAUGCUCAAACGAGCACUUAGACAUAUUAUAUAUUCUUAAUUUUCUAAAAAUUCUCCAAUACUAGGAAAAGCAUCAAAAAACCAUAAUUGCUCAUAAAAUCCACCAAGAAAAUAUUCCUAAGCCAGAAAAUGCAGAAAACAUGCAAUUAAGGGGAAAACCCUAGGAAAAACAUUAAGGGAAAAAUGCGGGUUCUCACACUUAACCUUUUCUAAAAAUAUGGACGUCACUCGAAUAUUCCCAAAAGUUAUCUUAUUCUGCUCCAGCUUCGGAUUCCAUUCUCCAACAGCUCCCAAUAAUUCCCACUCCUUCACCAUCAAUCCAGAAAUGUGAGCUUUUCGACUUAAGGCAUCGGCUACCACAUUAGCCUUACCAGGAUGGUAGUUAAUAGUAUAAUCGUAAUCCUCCAAAAAUUCCAUCCAACGACGUUGUCUCAUGUUCAACUCCUUCUGGGAAAAGAGGUAUCUAAGGCUCUUGUGGUCAGAAUAAACUUCAAAAGUCACUCCGUACAGAUAGUGUCUCCACUUUUUCAGAGCGAAGACAACUGCGGCCAAUUCUAGAUCAUGAAUAGGAUAGUUUUGCUCAUGAGUUUUCAAUUUCCGAGAAGCAUAAGCUAUCACAUUUUGGUGUUGCAUUAAUACGCAUCCCAAACCUUCUUUGGAGGCGUCGGUGUAAACAUUAAAACCGUCCGGACCGUUAGGUAAAGCUAGAAUAGGGGCCAUAGUUAAUCUCCUUUUCAGCUCUUGAAAACUGAUCUCACACUUAUCACUCCACAGGAAUGGUCCACCCUUCUUGGUUAGAUCGGUUAAGGGACUGGCAAGUUUCGAAAAAUCUUUGAUAAAUCGCCGGUAAUAACCUGCCAACCCUAGAAAACUCCGGAUCUCAGUAGGGUUAUUGGGUCUUUUCCACUCAGUUACCGCCUCUACCUUGGCCGGAUCUACAGCAAUCCCUUCCUUUGAAAUCACAUGCCCUAGAAAAGCAACUCUUUCUAACCAGAACUCACAUUUGCUAAAUUUGGCAUACAACUGGUGCUCCCUCAGGGUUUGUAGGACCUCUUUCAAAUGUUUUUCAUGUUCCUCAUGGGUUUUUGAAUAAACCAAUAUGUCAUCGAUAAAAACAACGACAAAUCGGUCGAGAUAAGGUUUGAAAAUUCGAUGCAUGAGGUCCAUGAAAGCAGCAGGGGCAUUGGUCAGUCCAAAAGGCAUCACGGCAAAUUCGUAGUGCCCAUACCGAGAAUUGAAAGCGGUUUUAGGCACAUCUUCCUUUCUAAUCAACAGUUGGUAAUACCCCUGUCGAAGAUCUAACUUCGAGAAGACCACCGCACCCUGUAAUUGAUCGAAUAACUCAUCGAUGUGGGGUAGUGGAUACUUAUUCUUAAUAGUUACAUUGUUCAACCCUCUGUAGUCAAUACAUAGCCUCAAGGUCCCGUCCUUCUUUUUAACAAAGAGAACAGGUGCCCCCCACGGUGAUCCACUCUCGUGAAUAAAACCCCGCUCUAGAAGAUCUUGUAACUGCAAUUUCAACUCUUUGAGCUCCGCAGGUGCCAUUCGGUAAGGAGUUUUGGAAAUAGGGGAAACCCCUGGCAAAAGGUUAACCUCAAACUCAAUCUCUCUUUCUGGAGGCAGAUUCACUAACUCGUCAGGAAAGACAUCGGGGUAUUCACUCACUACUGGAACAUCUUCUAUUUUCAAUUUGUCGACCGGCGUGUUUAUAAGAAAAGCUAGGAACCCUUGCGCCCCUCUACUCAAUAAUUUCCUAGCGCGAAUACCUGAUAUCAUAGCGGAUGAGGCUAGACUACCCCUCACAUCUAACCUCAAAGUUGCCUCCCCAGGAAUACGAAAUUCUACUAUUUUCCUCUUACAAUCCAGUUGGGCAUCGUAGCGAGCCAACCAAUCCAUGCCCAAUAUCACAUCGUAUCCCUUUAUGGCUAAACUUAUCAAAUUUCCCAGUAACUUCCUCUCACCUACCCAGAUCUCACAAUUCGUAUACAUCUUGCUAGAAAUCAAACAUUGGUCCCCCGUAGGAGUACUAACUUCCAGCUCAAAGGGAAGAAUAACAGGGUUUAUAUCAAUUCCGCACAUAAACUCGGGGUUAACGAAAGAAUGGGUGGCUCCAGGAUCUAUCAAAAUUCUAGCUAGGCGGUGGAAGACAGGAAUCGUACCUUCCACUACCUCGGCCGAGUCAGGAACUGGACGUUGCUCGAUGGAGUAUACCCGAGCGGGUACCUUCGGUUUGGCUCCUUCUACCCGCGAUUGACUUGAGGUAGCCUUGGAUGUCGGUGUAGUUCCUUUCACGUCUCGGCCUUGGACUGGACAACUAGCGAGCCGGUGCUCUGCACUCCCGCAGCGUAAGCACUUGUUCUGUUUCCUCCAACAGUCGUCCUCUGUGUGGUUUGGUUUCCCACAGAAGCUACACGAUCCACGCGUAACAGUAGCGGAACUCCCUUGUGAGGCACUUCUCGGUUGGCCUCGUCCCGGUUGGCUUCCUCGAGAGGGAGCCCCUCUGGCCGGACUCGCAAACCGUCCCCCCCCAGCUCCCCUUCCAAACUUAGGAGGGGUACUUUUAUCCCCUUGAGUUGAGCUACUUCCAGCAGCUCCACGCUUUCGAUUCUGGAAAUUCCUCACCUGAAGCCUUGCGUUCUCGGAUCGUAAUGCUUUCUCAACAGCAUCACUGAAAGUAGUGAUUUGGGCUACGGCCAAAUCCUUUUGGAUUUUCACAUUGAGCCCCUGAAGAAAUCGCCUCGCCCUUCUUUGUUCUGUCAAGAUGAGCUCAGGGGCAAACUUAGACAAGCGCGUGAAUUGGCCCUCAUAUUCGGCCACCGAUUGUGUGCCUUGGCGUAAACGAAUAAAUUCGUCCUCUUUUUUCUCCUGAACCAACGGUGGAAAGUACUUGGCAUUGAAUUCCCUUACGAAAUUCGUCCAAGUUCUUGGUGUCUGUUCUCGCUCCCAUUUGGUCCGGAUAAUGUUCCACCAAGAGCGAGCAGCCCCUUCGAGUUGAAAAACAGCAAAGGUAACUUGCCUCUCUUCCGAGUAACGUAGAGCGGCAAAAAUGUCUAUCAUCUUCUCCAACCAUUGUUCUGCCACAUCCGAAUCGGGCCCUCCGAGAAAUUUAGGUGGAGAAAAUUUUUGAAAUCGUUCAAGAGCUCGGUCGUCGCUCUCGACAUGAUUUCCAGGGUUUCCAGGAUUCCCAACUGGAGGAUUAGGAUUGGGGCCCGGUUGCUGCUGUACUACCUGUGCUAGGAGAUCGGUCAUCCGCUGAAUAGCAGCGGCUACCUGGAUAUUGGGAUCGACUUGAGGUUCAGGAUUGGGUUCGGGCACUGUAGUUCCGGUACCCCGUUCAGGUGUGGACUGUCUACCCCCACGUCCUCUACCUCGGCCACUACGCGUGCCUUCCAUCGUUCUAAAUUAACCAAGCCAUCAAAAUACACGCUUAAAUAUAAAUAUAACAUGAACAUCAAAGGAUACACACUCCUGUGCAUAACAAUAAACAUGAAUACGGAACCAACAGGUACUUCAUAAAACACUUCACAUAACACAUAGUCAUAUAUUCACACCAGAUCAAACAGUUACACCAAAACAGUCAGUCAAGUACAAGCACAAGCAAGGAAAGUAUCUUACGGAAUGGCAAUACAAAAGUCAUAUAUACAAAACUAGUCCAACAUGCAACGUGACUAGCUAAGGGUCCUACCCAACCUGCCAUUCCGUAUCCCUUAUAUAUACAAAAGUCAAAACCACAAAAGUCAAACCACCCAAAAUAGCCUAAGAGCCAAAACCUAGCCUACCGUGGGACUAGAGGACCCACUCGCUUGAGUGGAUUCACCUCCAACCCCGGCUUGUACACUAGAGCCCUCGUCACUCUCUCCCCCUAAGAGGUCAUCACAUAGGUUCAGAAUCGAUCCGGCUCUCUCCUUCAGUUGCCUUGCCCUCUUAACCAUUCGCUCAUGUGCCUCUCCCAGUUGCGUACAUAGGUCGUCCACCCUAUCUUGACCUUCUCCCAGGUCAUAUUCCAAUUCCUUCAUUCGUUCAGCUUGCCUCUUGUUGGCCUCUCUCAGUUGCUUCACUUCGGCCUCUAGCCUUGUACAAUCCUUGGCCAACUCCUUCCUUUCUUUGUCCACCGCCAAUACGAGGGUAUUGGGGUAGGCAAACCUGUGACGGCACUCACAACGCCGAAGGCAACUAGCUGGACUCCAGCGUACCACUGCCCCUCUCGCCCGGACCUGGUACUUGAUCAAAGGAAGUACUCUCCGGCCCUGCUCCACAAUCGGCCUCUCACUAGAUCCACUAGGCGCAUCCAUCCUACACAAAAGCGUAAUCAAACUCAAACACUCUUAGGAACACAAACAAAUACAAGUCCUAAAUCAAGAAAUUUCUAGCAUGCCCAGGUUCAUCACAAACCUAGGCUCUGAUACCACUUGUGACGACCCCAUCUUCCCCUAAGGCGAACCAGAGGGGUCGACAGACCGCCUGCCCAGCCCUCGCCAGGACUACAAACACGAAACAAACAAACCGAAUCGAACUUGCAAAGAGAAAAUCAAUAAAGCAAGCAUACAAACCUUUUUAAAAGGUUCUUAUUACCACAAAGUCAUCACGGAAGAAAGUAUAGCUCGCGAGCACUUGAAUUGGUCAAGAAAACGAAAACGGAAAAAUUUGCCGCGGAUGAACAGUAACCAGCCGCGUCACUAUCCGGCCAGAAUCUGGCCGGAUAGGAGGCAGUGGUUGGACCCCAAAGGGGUCGAAAUUCCCCUGUCAAUCCGGCCGACAAUCCGGCCGGAAGUUGGCCGGAUUGCGUCCAGUGGCCAAAAUGCCAAAUUUUUUUUCCUUCCCCUGCAUAUCCGGCCUUGUAUCCGGCCAGAAACUGGCCGGAUUCUGGGCGACAGUUUUUCUAAAACUUUUCUUCCUUCGUUCGAAAAUCGUUGUUCGCCCCAAACACUUCAAACACAUAAUGUAGUGAAUCCAAGACUUGAUAAAGACAUAUAUACAUGUCAUAUAUACAUGAAAAGGGGUCACUUAUACAAUUCCAAAAGAUACUUGAAUUCAAAUACAUCCAAGUUUCAAGUUUUAGAGGAGCUUUACAAAACUAGCUAUCUAACUAGCUCAACUCAUUUCAAAACUUGAGUCCGGCGGUGCUCCUGUAAGGAAAACAAAAUAACAGGGGUGAGCUUACGCUCGUGAGGUACCAAAUUACCAAACCAAUGAUACAAGCCAUCAAACACAUAUGCAUAAAAGCCUUCACUCAAUCCACCAUAUACAAAAGGAUACAGUCGGCCCUCAAGGGCCGUUUUCCAAUUGCCAUACUUGAUCGUACUCGUUGACACUCCGUCAACCAAUGGAGAAAACCAAGAACCGUAGGCUCCUCUUUACACCAUUUCCUUCCACCAAUCACCCCCUUAUCGGGCCCGCACACCUCACAGUCACAAACGGUCAUACUCGAGUAUACCAUAAGGUCGAGGAGUGAACACUCCACUCGACUAUCAGUGACCCAAAGGCACGUCAACGAUUCGCCCAAGCCCUAGCCGGCUCGACUCGAAUAACGGCCCAAGGGAAAGAGCUCAGAUUUCACAGUGAUCAUAGGGCAUGGCCCUAACAAAUAUCAACCCAUAUAUAUACAAGACAUUGAACAGGCCAACAGUAUCAAUAGCACAAGAACAGUAACAAGAACACAAGUAGGUGGUCAAGAGCGAUAAAGUACACCCUUGACCCAUUCAAGCCAUACAAGUCACGUAUUAAGUGCAUUCAACCAUUUAAUGAUACACUCACCAAGCAACCAAGUAAAUCACACGUUCGAGUCAGGUGUAGGUCCCGGUCCACCGGUACGACCUAAAACAAGCAAGAAAACAUAUUUGAAACUCAACUCAAUCACGAGUCAAUGUACAAUGAACCUACUAAUAUAAGUUACUCAAAAUCAAAUGGAGCAACGAAGGUGCGGAAUGUGAACAAACUCCCCAAUUCUUCCAUUUCUAUUCAAACCUUCUCAAUUCAAGACAACCCAUACCCCAACCAAUUGGGCGGCAUUUCCCCUUAAUUUCUUCACAUUUCCAACCUAACCAACAACAUCAAACUCAUACCAAAACACUUACAAAUCACAAACGAGUACAUACACCUUAUUUGAAUCACAAUACCAUCAAAUAUACAUCAAUUGCUAGCAUGAGAACCACAUAUAGAAAAGCCCCAAUUUCAUACUAAACCCUAAAUCCGAAAUUCUCUCAAAUGCUGAAAUUUUCCACAAUUCACCACCAUUAUCACAACUAGGCUCUAAAUCAUUCAAUAUAAACCCAUCACACCUUACUCAAGCAUAAGUUAUCACAUAAAACAGAAAAUUCCUCAAUAAAUAGAAAAUCAUCACAACUCAAGUAUAAAUCAUGAAAUACUCCAUAAAAUAGCCUCUUUAACUUCUAACCUCUACUAAUCUCACAUUACCACUAAUAAAGAGAUAAGUUCUCAACUACUCACCUUACAAAUACUUGAUAUGAGAUGGAUGAGAGCUUUUCCUUCCAAACUAAAACCACCAAGCCCUUCAAGCUCUAUCAACAAGAGGAUUUUAUGGAGGAAUUGGAGAAUUAAACGGUUGAAUUCCAAGAUUGGGCCAAGAAAAGCAAGCAAAAGUUGAAGAGUUUCUCUCUCUUUUUCUCUCUAGUUGGCCGGCCAAGAGGAUGAAAAAUAAGAAAGAAUUUUGGUCACAAUUCAAUUUAGUAAAGGUAUAAGAAAAGUCAAAAGUCCAAGGCCCAAUAGAAUUGCAACAAGUGUCAUCCAAGCUUAUCUCAUUCUUGUCUUACAACACCUAAUUAAACCCACUAACCUCUAAUUAACUCAUAACACUAGGUAAUAAAGCCUCCGUAUCUACAAUUGCCCACAGCUACAUCUUACCGUACCGAUCGGCUUAGUGGGUCCCACAUACACGGUAUUCCCUUAAAACACAGAAAAUGACCUAAACCCAGAACAUAAUGCAAAAUUCAUAUUUCCUCAUACAAUUCCCCAGAAAAGCCACAUAUUAAAGAAAACCCUAGCAGUAGGCCCAAUAUAAAUGCCUCAAAAAUAAGAAAAAUUUCGGGGUCUCACAAAGACAAUGUCAUGAAAGAGAACCUUAAUCACUCGAAAAUCGAGGUUCAAAAGUGAGGAUUUAAAGUCCCAAGAGAGACUUGCCUCUACCAUGAAAUCGAGUUUAAAACAGUUUAUCGAUAUCAAGAAAGAGUAAUGAGUUCUCAAAAACUCAUUUCUUAAGAAAUCGGAAAAUUUCCUUUUUGCGCGACAAUCUUUGGAAAAUCAAAUCUUGAGUUUGGUACUUCCAAAAAUGGAAAACUCUAUACUGUCGGAAACUAGGUUCGAAGUACUAAAAGUUUCUAGCAGAUACUUUUCCAAGAUUCGAAACGGAAAUCAUUCAUUUUUUAGCUCAAAAUUUCAGUUCCAAGAAGACAGGUUUGAACCAGUCUUGAUUUUCAGCAAUCUUUGGAAAUUUGGCAUAAUUCACAGAAAGUGAAUCAGCUCUUAAAAUUUGUAACACAAUAAGAGUUCCAAACAAGGUUUCAAACACGACAAGCGAAACAAAGUUCGGAGUUUUGAGCAUCAAGAUACAACAGUUUAAAGUUAGCUGAAUUUUUGCACAUUGAUCAGAAAUUUUCAGAUUUGAAAAGUCAUCUUUGGGGCGCUAUUUGAGUAUCUAAUGAUAUUGAAAUUGCACCAAAUUUGGUACACUUAAACUUCCAUAUGUGGACUACCUCUCUACCAAAUUUCAUGCAAAAACUCACGUGGGAAGGUAGUUAAAAAAAUGACUAAAGUUUGUGAAAAUUUCAAGGCAAAUCUGCCAUCUCACUCUUUCUUUCUUUCCAAAAGUUUGGUAAAAUGAAAUCAACCCCAAUUCAAUCCAUUUUUUAAACCAAGGUCCUAUAAAAAUUUAAUAAGCAAUUGAUGGUUAAUUGGCAUCAAAAUUUUCGAAGCAACACAUCUCACAACAAUCCUGACCAUUCGGCCAGCAAGAAGGGAAAAACUUUCCAGUUUCCAGUUUUGUUGCACUUUCAAAAUUAGGCGACAUCUCACUCAAUACAUGUUCAAAUUAAGAAUGGUUUAUGGAGUUGGAAACUAGGUUCAAAAUUCUACAUUUCAUCAGAAGGAAACAUUUCCAAAAUCAGUUCACAAGUGAGAGAAAAUCAAGCCACAAGAUGCAGCUUCUCCAUUCCUCUCAGACAGACAGUUACAAUAGGACAGUCAAAUUUGUCGAAUCACUAGGGUUGAUUCAAAAUGAAGUAGUGGGUGAUUUUUAUACCGUUAGAAAGCUAUGAAUGUCUAGUUUCAAAUGCCACAAAUGGCACUCAAUUUUGACUUUUGUACAAAGAGUUACGUUCAAACAAAGAGCUACUAUUCGGCUGCCCUGACUACCAUUUUCCAGAUUUCUUCCAUUUUCGAAAACCCUAGUUUUGAGCAACCAAUUGAAACGAUUUUUUGGUAGCAACUUUGUACACACAAUAUACAACAUAUAACCAUCAAUUUCACAGCCAAACAAGCACCAAAAUUUUGAAUAAAAACAGAGCAACAUGGACAAAAAAUUUCGGCCAGCUUGCACUUCCAUUUUUCUUUCGAUUUCCCUCCACUUUCUAACCGUAAUUCUCUCAUAUAACGGAUAAACAACAUCAACCAAGCAAAAAAUCCUCAAGGAAGCUACCUAUAAUCCACCUCAAGACCGCUAGCCUAAAGAUUAAAGCAAGAAAUGAAACACCUCAAGUCCGCUAGCCUAUUCCUUGCUUAGGGUUGUAAACCCAUGCAAACUAAGCUUCAUUCUUGAAGAAAUUAGAAAGAUUGAAGAAGGUGAAGGGUUACCUCUUGAACCCUUGAAGAAACCAUAAUUUUUCCACCCAAAAACUCUCCAAGAAACACCACAAGAUGAUGCCUUUCUCCAAACUAGAACUAAUCUCCAAGUAGUAUGUGAUUUGGAUGAAGAUUUGUGAGGGAAAUGGAACAAGAUUUGGAGCAAGAUGAAGAAGCUUUCUUCCUUCCUUUUCCUUUGCUGUUUCGGCCGACCAAAGAGAGGAGAGAGAGAGAGUGGUUUGAGUUGUGUGAAGCUUCCCUUGGAAGAUUGAAGAAAUUGUGGAACUAUGAAUAGGGUUCGAAUAGUGUCCUGUACUACCACUUUUCUCUCUUGUUUGUUGUACUAGGGCACUAAUCCUCCAAUGUAAUUCCUUUAACACUGUAUUUACUCACUCUUAUGAGUCUAGUAUAACUUUCUCAAAUUUUCACUUAGUCAUUCCUACGCGCAAUAUGCGAACUUUCGACUCGCGCGCGAUAAGGCGAAAUUUACGAGCAAUUCAUGCAAUGAUAAUAUAAUUAACUAAUUCUAGGGUAAAUAAUUAUAAAAAUAACUAUUUUAAGAAUAAAAAUAUGAGUCCUCACACUUCAAGCCUAUUUUCUAAUGGUGAAGUUUUGUGAUUUUUUGGCCUACAGAACCCAAGUUACACUUUUUCAAAGAAUGUCACCAAAGUUGGGAAUUUUGUCAAAUGAAUUGAGUGGGACUUGGAAAACUCUGGGAAAACUUUUAUAGGUUUUAGACCUAACUUUCUUUGGUUAAAUCUUGCAGAUUUUGAUUUGAAAUACUUGGUGAUAUGUUAACCUUAGCAUGCAUGAAAUAUUUCACUUGAUUUGAACUUGAUUUAAACAAGAAAUCGUGGCCCUUUUAAUCUUCUAAUAUUAGGGUUAAACCUGUAGUUUCUGUGGUUGCUAAGUGAAGUAUCGAAUCUCAUAUUUUCUCGUUAUCUUGGUUUUAAGUUACUAGACUCUUGACGGAUUGCAUGAUCACAGGACUUGAGAAUGUUCUAGAGGAAGAACCAGGGUGACCAAUUUGUGAGGUCAAGUGGUGAGUGUUCCUUGCAUGUUGUGCUUCCAAUAACUAUGUGGAUUGUUGUGAAUAUUUGUUUAAGUGUUAACUGCUUUUCAAUGAUUGCUAAAUGGAUUUUCUAUAGGUGAGUGUGUACUUUAUCGCACUCGAUCUAAGUAAACGUGAAAUUUCCAAUGAUCAAAUGAUUGAAUGUUACUUGUGUAUGAAUGUAAGCCUUUGGCUAAACUGGACCCUUGCUCUUCAUUGCCAGUCGACUCGAGCUAGAAGCGGACUCAGUCGGGUGACUGGUGACCCUGGGACAAUGUUUGGUAUACUCGAGUAUGACCAUGAAAUCUGGUGAAGUACUGACCAGUGAAUGCAAUGCAAUGAAUGAAAUGAACAUUGAAAGAGUUUUCACUUUUAAAUGUUUUCAAAUAUCGGAGGAAUAAAGGAAAUGGUCGGAGACUGAAUGAAUGAAUGGCUCCAAGAGAGCACGUAUCCGUCCAAUGAUUGAAUAUUUAUUUCUUGAAUUACUGUUUAUCACUAUGCAAAGUGUACAAAUUGUUAAAUGUAAUACUUCUAUGUUUUCUCUACCCGAUUGCUUGUUUAGGAACCUCAUUGGGCUUUUAGCUCAUUCAUUUAGUUUUGUUUUCCUUACAGGAGUGGAGGCCGGAUCAAGUAAGCAUGUAAUAGUGUGUAUAAUCUUCAUGUACUCGUACUUUUAUAGAUGGAAUGUAUUUUAGAGAUUUGGUAAUGAAAUUCUAUGUUUCACUUUUGGAUUGUAAAUUAAGUUGGAAUUCUUGGAUGAAUGGAACUUUUAUGUUUAUCUAGAGGUGUGAAAGACUCUUUCAAGAAUGUAAGUGAGUGAGUCCUAACGAGAGUUGGGCAAGCGGUCCGCCAAACCCUUGGGUUCGCCCUAGGGGGAGGUGGGAUUGUCACAUAUUAGGCUCCAAACGACAUCAAAUUCAUGCACAAAUAAUAGAUUUCAAAUAAACGGUAGACUAGUCAAACAGUCAAGUGGAAUCGAGUGUGAUAAAGUACACACCCGUCCAGUCCAUAUUAAACCAAAGUCACAAUCAUAUAAAUAAUAAAUUUCAGUCACAAGUAGUUCACUUUACACAAUAAGCCAUGCAAGUGGUACACUCACCUUUUAAGGUAGAACAAUACUAAACGUUCGACUCUGGGUUGUGCUCGUUCCCACCGUCAAACCCUAAAAGUAACCAAGACAAGAUGUCAUGGUCCGACCAUUCAAAACUUAGGUUAAUGAAGUGCUCACUUUAGACUUAAUUAUGAGCCAUAUGCCUAUCUUGGUUUGGCCUCUCAAAACACAAAGUUCAAAGACAAAUUUGAAAACUAAUCAAAGAAUAUCCAAGUGCAUUCUAGAGCUUUGGUUCAAGUGAGUUAUUAGUGUCAAAUAAAAAGCACUUAGACUCACAAGAUGUAAGAAACCAAAAGAGGAAAAUUGGAUAUUUAUAACUUAUGAAACUUAGCAAAACAUACGUAAGAUAUACGCACGACUUUUAGAAGAAAAAACAACCAAUCUCGAGUCUAAAGUUGGGCAAAUGAAACUAGAGAGCAUGCUAGAAAAAAAUCAUUAUUUUUCCUCUUGUUUUACAAAUGGUUUUUGAACAAAAUUCAGCCUAUACACCACUGCCAAGGUGGACUCAAGCAAUCAUAAGUAAAAUCACCCCUCUAAUAUCACUCAUAUCACAAGAAAGGAAGUAACAAAAAUUUCAUCAGCACUUCCCCUUAUUUCCUUAACUUUUCCUUCCAAACUCAACACCUAUAUUCAUAGCAAUCCAACCUCAAUCACAACCACAAGUUAUAGGCUAUAAAGUACACUUGUUUAAGGUCACAAAGCCACCCAAAUAGCCAAUUAUCUAAUUCAAGAACUACCCUAAUAAAGCUGGAAAAAUAUAACCCUAAGCUGAAAUUUACAACUACAAGCUGAAAUUUUCUAUAAUGAAGCCAAAAUAACAUAUAAAAACUAGAAAAUUCACAUGGCAAGGCUGAUAGAUCAUAGCCAAGCUCAAAUCAUCAUAUCAAAGCUGAAAUUUCUCACUCAAAGCUGGAAUUUUCCAACCACCACACAAGCCAUCAAUUUUUCCAUGAAAACUACCAAAAUCAAGUCUUAAAUCUACUCAUAUGCAUGUAAUAAAAGAAAAGAUGGUUUCUUGAUAUAGUUACCUUGAAACCCUAAGAAGAAAUGAAAACCAAGAGCUUCUUUCUGCCACAUCUCUCCACCAAAGUCCUUAAUCCUUCCUAAAUGUCACUUUUUAUGGUUUGGAUUGCAAGUUUAUGGUGAAAACUCAAGGAUUCAAGCAAGAUUUGGAGGUUGAAGAUGAAGUAAUUCUCUAUUUUUUUUCCUCAAGAGGGUCGCCCAAGAAGAAAGGAAAGAUGGUAGAUUUUUUGUCAAUUUUUUUGUUAAUUAAAGGUUAAGAAAGGUCUUUGUCAAAGUCAAAGCUCCAUGGCUUUGGUGACACUUGGCUUUCCAAGGUUAAUUCUCAUCUAUUUGUCUUCCAAAUGCUAAAAUAUUUAACCAAUCUCUAAUUAUCUCUUAACACCUUAUAAAAUAAUAUCCCUUUGCACAAAACUUCUCUUAAUCUUUAAAAAUUUAUCACACACAAACGAACUUAACAUGCACUAACUUAUACAAGAAAAAUGGUUAAAAAUCUUAACUCUCUUAUAAAAAUAUCUAGGAAAUUAAGGCAAUAAAGUAAAGUAAAGAAAAUGUAUUCAAAGAAAUAAAAUCCACUCUUGAAUUAAUCAUUUGCACCCUUGACUUUACUCGAGAUUAAUAGCAAUUUCUAAAGAGAAAGCCUAAUUAGGAAAAACCCAAAGAGAAGGAUCAAAGUACAUAUUUGACGUUACUCAGGAUUAAUUAUAGUUCUCACUAAUUAAUUAUUUGCAACUUAAAUUAUCAAUUGUAACAUUUGAGUAACUUAUACUUCCAAUUUGCGAAACAUUGUUCAAAUCAAUUGAAACCCAAUAAAUUUAGAAAUGUAUUUUUGAACUAAAUCCUAUAGUAUCCUUAGAUGAAUAAUGAAUUCCAAUAAACAAAUGCAAAUAAAUAGUAUCAAUCAAUAGAUACAUAUAAGAGAAUAUCAAUAAAGGUCUCGCAGUCUUUUUAUUAAAAAAAUAAUGAGAGAAACUCAUCUAUCUUCAUUUGAUUUGAACACUAUACCACAAAUGCAAGAGUACGUGAAAUCCCAAAGUCUUAAAUUGAUAGUUUAGGACGCAAGUUUGAAUAGUAGGUAACUGAGUGAAGUAUUGUUCAGGAUGCAAGUUUAAAUAAUAGAUAAUUGAGUGGUGCAUGUUGCAAUUAACCCUUUAUUCGAUUUGUUUGUUUGCACUUGCUCUUUUGUGACCAGCAGAACCAGAGACAGCAACAUAAGGUCAGAUAGGGGUGAUAGUUGGACUGAGUCUAGUCAACUCAGCUCAAAACCGCUUUCAGUAUUUACUAUAUAUUUAUUAAUUUCUAUAUAUUUAUUAAUUAAUUUUUUUAACUAACCACCCCAACAAGCUCCUCAUUUUAACUUAAUUUUCCCCUCUUUUUUUUUCAUUUUCAUUUCCUCUGGGACUGUUUUUCGUCCUUUCCUUUGGCCCUUUUUUCUUUUAGUAUUAUCGUUACCGUUAAAUUACAGUUAUAUUUCCGGCGUCUUUCUGGCCUUCGUCCACCGGCGGCCUCUGAAUGUUUAUGUGCCGGCGUUUACUCAAGUAGCAGACUACUGACGAGGUGGGAAAAUUACACUACUGUUAUUUGUUUAUUUCUUUUGCUUUUGCAUUAUUCUUUUUUAUUUUUUGAAAUUAUAGCUGAAAGGAGCUAGGGUUCUCCUGUUUGAGCUUUAAUUGUAGGAGUAUUUGUUAGUUGGAAAUUUGUAUGUCUUGUAUAGUUAGCUCAUAUUCUUGUUUAUAUCUUUCUUUUGUUUCCUUUUUUGAGAUUUUUUGGUUUGGUGUAUCUUGUUGUCUGUGCUUUGGUAUUAAUUUUUUGAAUUUUGAGAAUGUUUUAUUUCCUCAAAAGUAAAGGUGUUUCAUGCUCUGGAAAUAUAGUGGUGGAUCAUUAUAACAAGAAAAAGGGGCAAGUUUUCUUUUCAUUUGUGUUUUUUUAUUUUUUUUUACGUAGUAGAAAGGAAACUUUAUUUGCGGAAAUUUGAAAACGAAAGUUUAUUCUUCCGAAGUUGAGUGAAUACAAGGGGCGAAUUGUGAAAAGGGCGCGCUUGAAGACAUAUUAAUUCAUAAAGAGGAAAUAUUUCGGUGGUAUUUUCUGUGAAGGCCAUUUACACUGCUUUUGUUUACAAAAUUAGACAUUUUUGUGCGCGCAUAGCAGUACAUUUUGUAGAGAAGUCAAUAUAAAGAGCCUUCAUAAUAAGUAGCCUGAAAUUGUGACUUCUUUAGGUGUUAUGAGGGCUCCAAUUGUAGCCUUCUGAUAAAUUUUUCCCAAUUUUGUGGCAUAUAGGGAAGAGAAUGAUCGAAAGUUCUUGAAUUUUGUGAUUUUUUGUUAAUUAUUGUUUGGUCAAAUGAAUUAUAAUGUUCAUAAAUUGAACUAUUGACUAGCUGCCUACAAGUCAUAUGAGUUGGUAGUUAUAAAUGCUUCUUUGGUAUGAACAACUACCCUUACAAAAUGUGUUAAAUCCUUCAUUUGCUGAUGUUAACACAAAACGUGUUAAAUCCUUGGUUCUCAAGUUUCAUUUGACGCACAUCUGUAGUGCUUCUUGGUUUCUUGUGUUUCACUUUAUGUCUGUCUUUUCAAUAAUCAGCUCAUAUGGUAAAGCUUCAGCUUACUGGAUGGUAGUAGCCUAAAUGUGGUUAUAGAGGGAAAGGGGGUCAUCUCUAAUGUGCUUCUGUAAAUUGCAAAAUUUUGGAAAUAAAUAGUUGAAAUGCAUUUUUUUAAUCGGUAAAGAAAUAAAGUAGGUUAUGAUUGGAAUACCCAAGAGAUACUCAAGAAAGUAAACUUUGUUGUUCAAAUAAAUAUGUUUGAAAUAUAAAAUAUUCUUCCAUCUAUUGCUCUUCUUUUUUACUCUUAGAGAACAGUUCUUUAUGUAUGUCCAGUAGAUAUCUUAUUUUGUCCAAAUGGAAUCUAGCUGAUGUAAUCUUACUAUGCCUACUUGUAUCGAAAUCAAUUUAUGACUUUGUGUUAUAUUUGUUUUGUUGGAUAAAUCUUAAGCCAAUUCACUGAACUUAAAAGGGUAGAGAAUGAUGAAACUAAAGUGGAAAAAAUUCGGAGUGAACCUUGCAUGCUUGUGUGGCUAGCAGGCUGGUAGGGAUGCAAUGAACUGCAAGAUAUGGUGGAUUUCACUGUCGGAAUUCCAUUUUAGUGUUCGUGGUUCAUUCCUUCAAAAAGGGUGGAGACCUGAUUCGGUAGCCUUUGGGCUUUAAGGAUCACUCUCUGCUGUUUUUUCUCAUCUUUCUUUUGGUUUCCUUGAUUGCAAUAGAUCUUUGCCGCAUAAUGUAUCCUUUGAUAUAGCUCGAAGAAUAUCACCCCAUGAUGUAUCGGAAUUGGGCUUCCUUGUCUUGGUCUUGUUAAAUAGAUUUAGAAAAAGGCCCUGUUUUAGCAACCAGGUACUCAAUUAGGAAGUCUCCUGGAAUGUUGGCCCGUGCAAAGGAUUAUGGAGCCUUUUUGCAUGGUUGUGCACAUCCUCAUAGUAAUUGUAAGCAAGUUGGUACUUAUGAAAUAAAAAAUGGCAAGCAGGUGAGCCAUGAAACUGGGAUUAUCUCAAGGAUUGUGCAAGGCCCCAAAUCCAUUGGGCUAGCUUUUGAAACACCAAACUGAAAAGUCAAAGUGGUCUCGAAAAGUUUCGUUUCUCAUUUUUUUUUUUUCUUUUUUUUGAGAUUCUCAGAAAAGAUAUCUUUUUCUUUGGGAAUUUUUGAAAAGCAAAUACCUAAGUUUUUAUGAAUGAACUCCAAUUUGGGACUACAUGCUUUGGAGUUUGUGAGUGAGUUCUGUUAUUGGGUCGCCUAUCUCUAAUGAUUGGUGAUAAAUGUUAAUAUCUUGAUAUUAUAGGCCUUGAAUCUUAUAUUAGUCGCAAUCUCCUCUUUAAACAUGUAUAAUUGACAUAUUGGAUUGUUAAGAGGUUCUGAUUUGUUUGGAGUGAGUAUAAUCUCAUUCACCCACCAUGAUAUUACUUAUAAUCGUUGAAGUCCUCAAGAUUAGGAAGUAUAGAGCCUUUUCAGCAUUAUCUAUGUCUUCUCAGACAACAGUUUUAACAUUAUUGGGCACAUAUUCUGUACGGGCAUUAAAUCCAUUGCUCAUUCAUGCCAAAAUGAGUCUCUGACAAAGUUGGAUUUGCUUUUACUUUGGUCUUUCUAACUUGUAGGAGAGUGAAGAGGAUGCAACUGUUAGUCUAGUCGUAGAGGCUGGAAGAAAUGGGGAGAAAUGAUGACUUUUGGUUUGUUGAAGUUUGGAUAUGAUGUUCUUGAUUUAUAUAAUAUGGUUGGAACCAUAAACAUUGAAAAUAGAAUGAGUGAGAUUCACAAUGAAAUUGCCUAAAUUAAAAAAUGCAUUGGCGAUUAAUAAGUUCUUGAAAUUAGGCAUCUCUCAUGUCUUCUUUCUCCCUAACAUUAGUUCAUUUAAUAAUGUAUUUAAAGAGCUUUAUACCACAAAGAACUUCCUUUUUUCCCCCUUCUGUAAGUAGUUGUUGGAACAGUUUGUAGGUUUCAAAGUGUUGAAGUAUUUCAUUUUCUAGAAACCAGCAUCUUGGACUUUGGACUUCUGUUUGUGUAUUUGUGUGCAAGGUGGAAAUAUAUUGGACUUUCUUUGAGUUUGUUACUGUUGGUUCUCAAAAUUCUGUUGAUUUGGUAACUUGACUGGCAUGCAUUUACCAAAGUUUGUAGUCUUUUACAGUAUUGCUCAUCGUGACUCUUGUCGUCAUUUGGACACUAUGCAGGUUAUGGACUUCUCAAAUGAAUUAAUGGUAUUCUGUCAAGACUCCUAUCACUAGCUUACAGGACGGUUGGCCAAAUGAGUUUUUCUCUGAACAAUUGCAGCUGAAAGAGGGCUCAUUUACCCAAGAUUCAUCAAUUGAAAUACUAACCAAAUUGAUUACUGUCAGUGGGUAUCUCCAGAGGAAAUUUGUGGUCGGACUGCACAGGAGAAAGAGUUCGCAUUUCAGAUUCCAUAUCCUAAACCUCCAAAAUUGCCAAAUAAAAAUUGUGGAUCAUACAAAGUGUGAGAAAGUGUCAAGCAAUAUGCAGCCAAGGGAUAGCCCUCAUAAUGGGGUUCCUGUGUCACCAUCCAAUUCAGGUGAGUUUGUUUCUUGUGUAGUACCGAAAAUUGAAUCAGGAAGUCUGCAGCAAAAACAGAUCUCUGCGAGUGAAAGUUGUGAACCAGAGGCACAUAAAGUCCCUCCCUUAGUGAAAAAUGAGAAAGAUGAAUUGAAUCAGUGGCAGAGCCAUGGUGCAGGAAAUCAUUCAACAGCAUAUGGUGAAACUGAAGUACUUGAUAGUGGGAAAGAUGUAGCAAUAUCCAAUCGAGUUUCUAUUGUACCAAAAAAGGAGCUAGUUUCUGAUGGUCAGCUUCAUGCAUCAGUGUCUAGUAAGCAAUUAAUCCCUGAGAAUGGAAACAGGGCAUCGCAGUUCAAUCAAGUGUCUGUGCAGCCAAAGGAGGAGUUGGGUCCCUCAGAGCAGAAUUUGAGUCCACAUACUGGAAGCAAUACACCAAUGUCUGGUGAGAAACUGAUACCUGAGAGUGGGACCCAUGUGUCACAAUUCAAUCAUGUUUCUAUAAUUACAAAAAUGGAUCCAGAUGGUCCAGAGCAGGAACAAGGAACUGAUGCUGGAAAAGAUGCAUCACUACCCUGUGAAGGAAGAGGAACUGAUUCUUCAGUGCUUGAGAAGUCUUUGCAACAUAUGCAAAAUACUAAUAUGCGUGUGUGCACAUCUUCAUCUGAUCAAGAGAAAAUCACUUAUUCUGCUAAACCAGAGAAAGUUCUAUAUAAGUUGCAGCCAAGACGGAACCCUGAUAGUGGGGUUCAUGCAACACAAUCUGAACAGGGAAGCAAUUCCCCUAGAAUACGUGAAAAAGCAUUGGAUGAUGGAUAUAAUUGGCGGAAGUAUGGACAGAAGCUUGUUAAAGGAAAUGUUUUUGUAAGGAGCUAUUACAAAUGUACUUAUUCUACUUGUCGAGCCAAAAAGCAGGUGGAGAGAUUGCAUGAUGGACGUCUUACAGAUAUUAAGUACAUUGGAAAACACGAACACCCUAAAUUGCAAAGUAGUCCCCAAUGUACUGCAUUUGUGUCUCCUUCUGAAGUGAGUAAAGCAGACAUGCCUGCAAUAGCUACAUCUGAAGGUAAACUAAGAGUAUAUGGUUGGUUAUAUUUGAAUCUUUUGACAGAUAAGUAAGGAAUUUAAUUAUUUAUUCUGUGGCUUCUUAGCUGAAGAUGAGCUGGUUGUUGCCCAUAAUGAUAAACCUCAACCUAUUGACCCAGCAGAAACUCCAAGGGAGUUGGCUGCCACAGCAAGUAAUAAUAGUACAGGAAAGGCAGUUCCACAGUUGCAUAAUCCAAGAGAUGAUAUUGAUAAUGACAUCAGUCCCACUUCCAAGAGACAGUAAGAUAACCAAAAUGGUUUCUCUUAAAUUUUUCUAGGGCACUUUCUCAGACCGUAUAACUGACAAUAAUUCUUUGGCCACAGGAAGAGAGAAACUUGUGAUGUUCAUAACAAUCAAGUGAAAAAGACUCAUUGUGAAUCAAGGCAAGUGGUUCACAUGAUGAGUGAGGUUGACAUAGUAAAUGAUGGCUAUCGCUGGCGCAAAUAUGGGCAGAAAUUAGUUAAAGGAAACCCCAAUCCUAGGUAUAUUCAGUUGCAUUACAUUUGUGCUUCUGAUUGGUGCUCUAUGUCAAAUUUUUAAAUUGUAGUAUCAAUAGGAAAUGCUGUUUCAUAACUUCCAUUAUUAACCUUGUAAUUUUUCAAUUGAGCUUGUUCCAUGUUUGUGGCAUCAUAUGCUGCAGCUGAACCAUCUAUUUUCCUUUCUUGGUUUGGGAGACACUGUAUAUGUAAAUGCCUGAGUUGUGGUCCAUUCUUUGUUUCUUCUCUCUGAGAUCACACAUACAACAUUUGUUUGCUAUUGCAGAGACUUAGUUCUGAGCAGAGGAAUGAGUAACCUUGGUGGAAGCAGCAAAGGGACAUGAAACCUUGAUUUUUUUUCCUGAAUUUUUAUGCAUCUUUUACAAGUAUUCUGCAUGGACAUAUAAUGGUAGCUAUGGCAUCUAUACUAGAAGUUACAAAUUUUAGGGGAUGGAUUCAAGUGUUUCAUAAUACAAUGUGUUAGUAUGUUCAGAAAAUGAUAGUUGAUGGAAACUUGUGAUUUCUUGUUGCACUUUAAUUCUGUAUAAUCCGCUAAGGUUAGUUAUUUGCUUGAUAAUAUACUUCUCCUUUUCCUGUUCCAUCUUCAGCUGUAGGUACUACUAUUUUUACACGCCAGUUAGUUUCAUUUAAUGCAGAUGGCAGCUUGUCAGUUGUAAUACAGUAUUCAGUUUCUGUUUGACAAAAUAUGAAAAGCAAAAAUAGUGAUAGUCUGUUCUCUUGGCUAAAAUAAAAGUGACUCCAUAGUUAAGUUGGCAAAAUUCUGGUUUAUUGUAAUGAAUUUCUUCGAUUUAGUAUUAAUUUGUUGUCUUUUUGCUCCAGCUUUAAUUGGUUUUGGCGUGCUUCUUUUGUGGGUCUUAUAAAGUAGUUGCAUCUUUUAUUUGUGUAUGUCACCUGUGAUGCAUCUAUUCAUGACAAAACUCCUGAUUUAUAUUUUGUUUAAUUAAAUGUUAUCUGAGGACUUUUUGAUAGAAUAUUGAUGCCUUAUUUCAACUCUGAUUGAACCUAAGCUCUUUAAUUUUCAAUGCCUACUAUUAAGAUCCAAGCAGUUGUGCAUUUUCUGUUUCCAUUGUGCUACUGUAAGUUAAGAUAGGGUUUGUAAUUGUUUGCAUCUGCUAGUGGCCUAUAUAAUGUGCACAUCCACUGUAAAACAUAAAAGAAAAUUGAGCUGAUUGUAGGAGGAGUAAUUUUGGCAGACAUAUUAAUUGGCUUCCAGCUUUUGAUGCGCAACCGAUUUGCUUAGGAGUGAUUCCUUGCCAUUACUACUAGUGAUUUUUGAGGUUUCCCGAUAACCUCUUCCUUGGGAGUCUACUUUCCAUUUGUGAUUUUAAAGCCAAUUCCUGCCAUCUUUGAAACCCGAUUUCAUCUUUAAAUUCAAGAAGCCACUGCAUCCAAGCUGAGUUUGCUCCUUAUGACUCUAUAUCACGGUUGCUGAUCUCAAUCAUCCUAAUUAACAUAGAGAUGUAUUAGACUGGUCAGUGAUGAUUUCUGCACACUUUUCUUUCUUUUUCACCUGUCAUUCAUGUUUUAAUGUUCAUCCUAUGUGGGCAUUCAUUUGGAUGUUUGCCUCUAGAAGUCCCGGCAACUUUAUGUUUUUGGUUAAUUGACAAAUAAUGCUUAAAGUUGCUGUGCAUCAAAUUUGCGUUUUUAUUGUUGUAAACUGUGUUUUCUUGGCUCUUCAGGAGUUACUACAGGUGCUCAAAUGCUGGUUGCACAGUCAAGAAACAUGUUGAGAGGUCAUCCCAUGAUCCAAAAGUUGUUAUCACAACGUAUGAAGGAAAGCAUGAUCAUGAUAUGCCUGCUUCUAGGACUGUUGGACACAGUGCAACAGAAAGUGGUACUAAUGGAACAACAAUGAAAGGAGAGGCAAAAUCUGAAAUUGGAGAACACAACGCGGUUGGCGUGGAUUUGAUAGUAAAUAUUGGUGCAAAUUGAUUUGGAGCUGCCCAAUUACUAUCUUUUUGAUAGCUAGCAUCAUCAGUUACUAUUUUGGUUCUGAGCAAUUGCAUCACUUUGUUCUCGUUUGUCCUCCAAUUUGGGUUUUUAGGUCUACUAUGACCUGCUCCGAGAAUGGAGUGUGGAAAGGGGUUGAUAAAAAUAGAUAUCUUGGAUUGAGGAAACUAAUUUAACUGCUUCAUUGGUCAGGAUUGAUGAUAAAUAGAUACUGCUGUACAAAUUAUUCAAAAUAGGAGCUAUGAACACAUCUAAGAUGUUCUCAAAGUAUUUGUUCUUAUAACGAGACUUCAUAUUUUUAAAUAGGAACUAGACUGCUUAUAACAAGACUUAGGGUGCGAUUGAUAAAACUAAAGUUUGAAGUCUGAGUUCUUGAAUUGUUAAGUAUUAAAUUAAAUAUAUUUUAAGUGUAUAUUUCAUUCCGUGAUAAGUGAAUAACUUAUCACUUAAUUUUGGGAGUAAAUUUUUUCUAGAAAAUUUAGUGUCACUUAAUUAAUUCAAAUAUUUAAUUUUUUAUUAUCAAACGAUCUGAAUAUAUUAAGAUUUAAAUCCAUUAAAUUUAAAUGUUAAACUAAGUUAUCAAACAUAUCCUUAAUUUUUUUUAAAUAUUUGUAUCCUGAGUCAAAUAUCUUGAGGUAAUCAUGUUGCUCAUGAUGAUUAUUUUUAUUUUACAUUAUUUUACUUUUGUUUUUCUUUCUUUUUGGUAAUAACUCGUGAUGAUAAUUUACCGUAAACGUUGUGUAUCCAAGUGCUACGUUUUAAAGAAAGAGCUGGACCUCCUUGCUCAUUUCACCUCUUCAUCCUAGAUAUCUUUCAUGUUCAAAGCAAUUACUGGUGUCAUGCUGUGCAUUGGUUUCCCGAUCCACCUUUUCUUUCUUUUUCAGUAGGGUACCAAGCACUUCAAGCUUUGGUUCCUUGACAGGACUUACAAACUGAAACUCAUCUUCUAGUGAUCCAAAGAAAAGAAAUCCAUGUAAAAAGAAACGCCAGCAUAUAAUGCAAAACAAAGUUUAAGAAAUGCAAUCUGGUUAAAUUGAUCUCAAAGAAAAGCAAACUAAGCUGGACUUUACAGGUUUCAUAGCUUGAAAAACUUCUACAGUAAGCAUGAGUCACAAAACUCAAAAGGGAUGGUGAUGGUGAGCAAAAAAGGAGAAACAAAAAUUGAUGGAAAACUUGAGGUUCCAUACAACCUAGCUUGUCCCAUCAGAUGGAGACGCAGCUCAUUUCCAUGCACAAGAAGCAACCAAAUCUCUAU